GAAGCCAAAGUUGUAUUUAAUACAGGUGGAGAAAGACUCGAGCCAAAGGCUCUAAAAAUAGUUUAGGACAGGUGAAAUGGGUCGGAAGCCCAACUAGACUAGGACAGGUCUUGUUGAUUUGGGCCCAAUGGUCUAAAUCCUUUACUUUCUCCUCCCUUCCCCUUUUAUGUGUUUAUUUGUUUAUUAGUUUUGUUUAGACUUAGUUAAAAUUCCUACUAAAUCACCUAAAUCUAUUUUACACAGGCUAAAUCAAAUCACUAUUUCAACAAAUUAAUCUUUUCGAAGUUAAUCAAAAUACGAUUUUCAAACAGUUCGGAUAACCGCAAGUUAGACGUUUUAGGUGCCUAACACCUUCCUAAAAUGCUAAUAGGAACCGCUUAUCUAGAAUCUCUAACUUAAAACGAUUUUCCUAUUUUGAAUCGUUUGAAGUGACUUUUAUAAAGGUUUCUUAAUUGCUUUUCAAAAUUAAGGGGCGACUCUCUUCAAAAAUCAAAAUUUCCGCAAAACAGAAAUGGUGACUCUGCUGGGGAUCUUUAACUAGGUUCUAACCAAAUGAUUGAUUUCAUCUUUUGAUUAACUGUUUAUGUGUUCCGAUUAUGUAAAGUUUAAUUAUCGCAUUUUAUGGCAUAUUCCUGCAUCUUAUAAACUGUUUUGCGGUUUCGUGGACGUCCCAGCCCCUGUUGUUCAAUUCCAAAAUAUGUUGGAAAUACGAAUAGCUUAUCAGCACGUGAGUCAUCUGACGCUGUUCGUAUUUUCAAACUCAAGUUGUCCGCUUGAGAAUCAAUUUUCAAACUCACUCUAGACACCUAGGAUAGAACGAAACCAAAACCCUAUUUUAGCCAUGAGCCUAGGACGACCCAAUACCCGAGAGGGGUAUUGGGCCCAUUAGAAUACCUGCCCUACGUAUAUUGACCCCGAGUCAAUUAUAAAUGAACCAUAUUUAUGUGUUGAAGAAAAUGUAUGCCUGUCUAAUUCAAUCCAUUAUCCUUUGGGGGUCGGGAAAAAGCUUGAUUUGCUUACUUUCGUAAGAAGAAUUGAAGCAAGUUAAGCAAGAAAUUGAUCGAUUUGGGAGGUUGCAUUUAAGGCACAAUUUGAGCGCCGACGGAUGUCACCAAUGUGAGAAGUGGACAAAGCUAAGAAGGCAAAGGCAGACGAAGGAGCCUCCAGUAGCUAGUUUUUCUAUUCUCCCCUGCGCGGGAACUUAUCCUUUUUCAUGUUAUUUCCCUUUUUCCCCCAAAGAUUGUAUCCUUGUUUUGUUAUCAUUUGUACGCAUUUAUGCCCGUUUCGUAUCUAUAUAAGUUGGGGUAUAAUGGAUUGAAUUUAGGGAAGCAUAUACUUUCUUCAAAAAUCGUUAGGCCUUAACCCUUGGCUCAAAAAGGGUCACCCCAGUUAGGAUACACAUUAUUAUAAUGUUUUGUGUGCUUGUGGUGUUUGUUUGGAUCAAAGGCAAGUUUAUCCGCUAUGCUCCUAUGGAUGAAUUUGUCUAGGAUUGAAACAAUUCUAUAUGGUUAUUUUCUGUCAAAUAUUUUGCAUUACUUAUCACAUAUGGAAACUAACACAUCUGCCUUUGAGUUGUUUUACUUAAAAGAUAAUAGAAAUUACUCCAUGUUGAUAUAAGCUGGCAGAACAUCCCCACAUCACCCGAUCGAAAGCGCAUAAAAUCCCAUCCUCUGACCAUCAUUCAAAAAUAACGGGAAAUCACAUAUGAGAUGAUUGUGGAACUUGCAAGAAAGUUAGAAAUGCUUCAGGAAGAAAUAAAUUGCACUCGGGAUUUGGCUAACUUGGCCAUCACCGUCAAUGCUCCUGCUCCGGGAGAACACCUAUUCUCGGGGAUCAGCCGAAUAACGUAUCAUCCGGCUCUGCUCCUCCAUUUGUCCAAAAUACUAAUCGUGAAAAUAAUCCAAAGGCCUACUAUCCACAAAAUCCAUCCGUAACCCCUCAGACCCCACCUUUAAAUCCAUUCCCAAAUCCUCAAAACACAUUUCCAAAUCCUCAAAACACAUUUCCAAAUCCGCAAGAUUCACUCCCAAAUCCACAAAAUACGUCAAACCUACCUUUGAAUCCACUAAAUUCAUGUCCAAAUCUGCGAAAUCCUUCCCAAAUUCCGCCAAACUACUCGCAAAGUCCGCAGAGCCUUCCCAAUUUCUAAAACGUCCUUCCCAAUUACCAACCAAAUUCCUUUCAUCCACAAAAUCAAGCCUCCCUUUCAAUUCCCCUUCAGGCUAUUGUAUUCCCUGACACCUAUGAACUCUGUUCUAAUCCUGAGAUGGACCAUUACGAGGAGAAGGAGAAAGAGUGGAAGGCCCAGUAUGAAAUGAAUUUACUAGCUAUGAAGGAAGAGAUCAUGAGGAUCAAAGAGUCUCAUAGAGCCAAGGACCACGACGGUUUGGGGUAUGACGAUUUAUGUGUUCACCCGGGAGUAGAUCUACCAGAAGGGUACAAAGUCCCUAAGUUUAAGAUAUUUGACGGUACCAAAAAUCCAAUGGUCCAUCUAAAAAGGUACUGUGAGCAACUGGUAGGGAUAGGAAAAAAUGAGGUGCUAUUGAUGCGCCUAUUCAGUCAAAGUUUGAAUGGUGAAGCCUUGGAGUGGUUCAUGUCUCAGGAGCCAAAAAAGUUAACUGAUUGGAAAACAUUGGCCAAGGUACAGCUAAUACAGCCAAAGCCUGUCAAUCCUAGCUCCCGAUUUUAUCACCCUGAUCAAAAUUGUGCCUAUCAUUCAGGGGCAGCAGGGCAUAGUACUGAGGACUAUCUUAUCUUGAAACACAGAAUCCAAGAUCUGAUUGAUCAAAAGGUCAUCAUGCUCCAGACACCUACUCCAAAUGUUAGCAGUAAUCUACUACCCAAUCAUGGGGGACCUACAGUUAACAUGAUUGAAAUAGAAGGCGAAUGGGCAUCUGGCAAGACCAUUACCCAGGUGAACUCUGAAAAGCACAAAAGGGCGGAAGAGGUAGAAAAGAUAGAGAAAGUUGUGGUUGCCUUAAGUAUCAAUGGGAAAGCCCCAUUUAUAGUGAUGACUACACUGAAUCAAGUGUACACUCCCCCUCCAAAGAAGGAAUUUAUUGUGCAAACCGCCGCUACCCAGGGAAUGACGCGAUCAGGACGAUGUUACAUCCCUAAGAAAUUGACCAACAAGAAAGAUUCACAGAAAAGGCCAAUCACUGAAGGAGAGGCUGAGGAAUUUUGGAGGCGUAUGCAACCAAAGGAUUACUCAAUUGUCAAACACUUGGAGAAAACACCAGCCGAAAUCUUUGUCUUGGUACUAUUAUUGAGCUCGCAACACCACCGAUAGGCUCUGUCGAAGGUCUUGGAGGAAGCGUAUGUUCCUGCAGGAACGAGCAUUAAGAAUUUGGCUACGAUGAUAGGGAACAUUGUGGGGAACCAUCGCAUAUCAUUAAGUGAUGAUGAGUUGCCGUUUGAAGGAGCAAUGCACAAUAAAGCCAUGCAUGUCACCAUCAUUUAUUGAUAUUAUAAAAUUAAUUAGGUAUUAAUAGACGACGGAUCUGAUAUAAAUAUUUAUCCCUUCUCCACGUUGGUCCAAAUGGGCUAUGAUCUGGGGAAAAUUCGUUAAAGCCACAUAAAUGUGAGAGCAUUCGAUGGAGGGUAGAGAGAUACCAUAGGAGAGAUUGAUUUGCACAUCCAAAUGGGGCCUGCUGAGUUUAAGACUAAAUUUCAUGUUAUGGAUAUCCAUCCUAGCUACAACCUGCUUUUGGGAAGACCAUGGAUACACGGGGCAAAGGCAAUUUCAUCACCCCUUCAUCAAUUAUUGAACUUCAUUUGGAAAGAUCAUGAAGUAGUCAUCUAAGGAGAAGAAAGUCGAGCGGACCGUCCCAAUGGUUAUGUGUCGGUGAUUGAAGAUGUUGCAAAAGGUAGAAGUUUCUAUACAGUGGAAAUUGUAAACAUUGUGGAAAGAGAUUCGACACCAAAAAAUCAAUGCCUUCUGUCUACAAAAUAAUUGCAACUGUGAUAUUAAGAAAUGGGUUUGAACCUGGUCGAGGCUUGGGCAAGAAUUUACAAGGAAUUAUUAAGCCUAUUAUGAUCCUAGAGAGAAGCUCUAAGCAUGGGUUAGGGUAUCAACCUACCAGAAAAUAUAGGGUUGAGGAUGAGCCAGAAAAGAGUCUGUUUAGGCCCUUGCCACUCCUGUUCCAGUCAUUUCUCGUACGAGAGAUGUCAGAUGAUAAUGUUCUUGGGGAUGGGAUAGGAGAUUUGUUUGAAGGAUGCAAUACUGUACUAGAAGAUCUCCCAAAGUCCAGCGGGGUGAAGUAGAUUACGCCAGGGGAGGAUUUGCAAAAUUAGACCUCCACUCCACUCAUAACCCGUCGCUCGUCGUGUAACAGUAGCUUAAAACCUGCCAACUGGUUGGAAGGAUGAUGAUGAGGAAUAGUUAGUUAAAGAUAUGGAAGAAUUUGAGAAUCGCGAAAAACCCAAUCUGGAAGAAACUGAAACAGUCAACUUGGGAGAUCACGACGCAAUCAAAGAGACCAGUAUAAGUGUCCACCUCGUGGUGACACAAAGGGAAAAGCUCAUCCACCUAUUGCAAGAGUAUAUCAACAUGUUUGCUUGGUCCUAUGAUGAUAUGCUAGGGUUGAGCACCAACAUUGUGUCACAUAAAUUGCCGAUAAAUUCUGAGUUUGAUCCAGUCAAGCAAGAACUGAGAAAAUUCAAGCCAGAUUUAAGUCUAAAGAUCAAGGAAAAAGUGACAAAACAAAUCCAAUCUAAGGUUGUCGAGGUCACAAAAUAUCCAACAUGGUUGGCCAACAUCGUCCCUAUUCCAAAGAAGGACGGCAAAAUUCGAAUUUGUGUUGACUAUAGAGACUUGAACAGAGCCAGUCCUAAAGAUAAUUUUCAUUGCCCAACAUCCAUAUUAUCAUCGAUAACUGUGCAAAACAUGAAAUGCAGUCAUUUGUUGAUUGUUUCACCGGCUAUCAUCAGAUACUGAUGGAUGAGAAAGAUGCAGAAAAAAUAGCUUUUAUUACGCCCUGGGGUGUUUAUCAUUACAGGGUAAUGCCAUUUGGUCUCAAGAACGCAGGUGUACAUAUAUGAGGGCCAUGGUGAUGAUUUUCCAUGAUAUAAUCCAUAAGGAGAUUGAGGUGUACGUGGAUGAUGUAAUUAUCAAAUCCCGCGAGAGUUCGGAUCAUCUAACUCAUCUGGAGAAAUUCUUCAACAGAUUAAGAAGGUACAGUUUGAAGUUAAAUCUUGCUAAGUAUACUUUUGGUGUGCCAUCAUGGAAGUUGCUGGGGUUCAUAGUCAGCAGAAGAGGGAUCGAGCUAGACCCAUCCAAAAUCAAGACAAUUCAAGACUUGCCACCGCCGAGGACCAAGAAAGAAGUUAUGAGUUUCUUGGGUCAUCUGAAUUAUAUUAGGAGAUUCAUCGCUCAAUCAACAGUCAUAUGCGAGCUAAUUCUCAAGAUUUUGAAGAAAAAUGCACUGAAUGAGUGGACAGAAGAAUGUCAGAGAGGUUUUGAUCGCAUCAAGGAAUACUUGUCUGCACCACCGGUUUUGGUCCCACCGAGAGAAGGAAUUCCAUUAUUGCUUUACCUGUCAGUCUCAGAAAAUGCUUUCGGAUGCGUCCUCGGGCAACAUGAUUUGACCGGCAGGAAAGAGAAAGCCAUUUACUACUUGAGUAAAAAGUUCACACCAUAUGAAGUCCGUUACACUCUUAUAGAAAGGACAUGUUGUGCUUUGACUUAGACGACACAAAAGUUGAGGCAUUAUCUGUCGUCCUACAUAACUUACCUCAUCUCGAGAAUGGAUCCAUAUAAGUAUAUAUUCCAGAAGGCUAUGCCUACAGGAAAGCUAACCAAGUGGCAAAUAUUGCUGAGUGAGUUUGACAUUGUGUAUGUAACCUAAAAAGCAAUCAAGGGGCAAGCCUUAGCAGAUUAUUUGGUUGAAAAUCCAGUUGAUGAGGAAUACAAGCCACUUUGGACAUACUUUCCAGACGAGGAAGUUUUGUUCGUAGGAGAAGAUAUCACAGAAAUCUACCCCGAAUAGAGGCUAUUUUUUGAUGGGGCGGUCAACUUCAAAGGUUCAGGAAUUGGAGCAGUUUUGGUGUCAGAAAUGGGUCAAAAUUAUCCGGUAACUACUAAGUUACGUUUUCCAUGCACCAAAAACAUGGCUGAAUAUGAAGCUUGCAUCCUGGGGCUCAAAUUGGCACUUGACAUGGGUGUUCGUGAAUUGCUAGCCAUCGGAGAUUCAGAUUUGCUGAUUCACCAGGUACAGGGAGAAUGGGAGGUAAAAAACGCCAAGAUUACUCCUUAUGUGGAGCUGGUGCAAGAAUUAUGCAAAAGAUUCAAGGAUGUUGAUUUCAGACAUAUCCCAGAGACACAAAACGAGUUUGCUGAUGCUUUGGCCACGAUAUCUUCCAUGAUUCAGCACCCGGAUCAGAGUUACAUCGAUCCUUUGGAAAUAAGCCUGAAGGAGCAACCCACGCAUUGCAUACAUAUGGAAGAGGAGCCUGAUGGAACGCCUUGGUACUAUGACAUUAAGCGGUAUUUGGAAUCUGGAAUAUAUCCUGAAGAGGCUAGUAACAACCAAAAGAAGACAAUCCGGCGUUUGGCAAAGAAUUACUUUCCAAGUGGAGAAAUUCUUUUUAGAAGGACUCUUGAUGUGGGAUUCCUAAGAUGCGUCGAUGCGGCGGAAGCUAAUAAGUUGAUAAACGAGGUACACGCUGGAGUUUGUGGGCCUCACAUGAAUGGGUUUGUCCUUGCCAGAAAGAUCCUGAGAACCGGUUACUUCUGGAUGACUAUGGAAAAUGAUUGUAGUAAGUUUUUGCAGAGAUGCCCAAAAUAUCAAAUACACGGAGAUCUGAUUUGAAUGUCUCCACACGAGCUUCACGCAAUGAAUUCUCCUUGGCCUUUCGUAGCUUGGGGCAUGGAUGUCAUUGGAUCAAUAGAGCCACUAGCAUUGAAUGGGCAUAGAUUUAUUUUGGUUGCCAUUGAUUAUUUCACUAAGUGGGUUGAAGCUGCUUCGUACAGAGCCGUCACUAAGAAAGUGGUUGCAGAUUUCAUCAAGAAUAACUUGAUUUGCCAAUUCGGAGUGCCGAAAUCGAUUAUUACUGAUAAUGAGGCAAACCUAAAUAGUCACUUGAUGAAAGAAAUUUGUGAUCAGUUCAAGAUUGUGCAUUACAACUCGACAACGUACCAUCCCCAAAUGAAUUAAGCUGUAGAAGCUGCUAACAAGAAUAUCAAGAAGAUCUUGAGAAAGAUGGUCGAAAAUGAUAGAUCAUGGUACAAGAUGUUACCUUACACCUUGCUAGGGUAUCGAAAAACAUUUCAAACCUCCACAGGAGCAACUCCCUAUUUACUAGUUUAUGGGAAUGAAGAUGUGAUACCCGCCGAGGUUGAAAUACCUUCCCUAAGGAUUAUUCAGGAGGUUGGACUGAGUAACGAAGAAUGGGUCCGUGCUCGCUAUGAACAAUUCAUGUUAAUUAAUGAAAAGAGAAUGGCCACUCUAUUCCAUGGUCAGCUGUAUCAACACAGGAUGGUUCGUGCCUUUAACAAGAAGGUAAGAUCUUGAGCUUUUGAAGUGGGGCAACUGGUUCUCAAACGAAUAUUCCCUCACCAAGAGGAGUACAAGGGCAAGUUCGCUCCAAACUGGCAUGGGCCAUACAUAGUUCUCAAGGUGCUAUCUGGAGGAGCUCUGACUUUGUCUGAGAUGGAUGGCACAGAGUGGACCAAACCAAUCAAUUCUGAUGCGGUAAAGAGAUAUUAUGUUUGAAUAACGUUCUAGUUUUUGUCUUUUCUAAGUUUGUUUGUAAUCACCUUUGUAAUAAUGUUGUUUGCUAGUGUGUAAUUGCCUAGAAUCCUUUCCCUUUAUGUACGAACUACGAUUGACCUAAAUUCCCAAGAAAGGGAUACGUAGGCGGCCUAUGUCGGCUUCGGUCAACCCCUUAGGAAAAUUUGUCCUUUCCCCCCUAUGUAUGAACUAUGUGAUGACCUAAAUUCCCAAUAAAAGGGAUAUGUAGGCGGCCUAUGUCGGUUUCGGUCAAUCUAUUAAUUUCUUUUGUAUAUCCCUAGCAUAGCCUGAACUACGUUUGACCUGAUUCCUACUUCAACGGGAUACGUAGGCGCCCCAACGGAUCAGUCAUAUAACCUUAGGAAAUGAAAACUGGGGCAGAAUUUUCGAGAAGGAAUCUCGAAAAUUCACAAGAGAAGAUAGACAUCCAACAAAGAGAAUGAAGAUCAGCAAAGAAUUCAGAUCCACUCAGAUUGGUAUUAUCUCAAACAAGUUUAAACUGGGGCAGAAAUUUUGGGGAAGACCUCAAAAUUUUCACCAAAUGCCAGAACAUAUUCCAAAUUCCCCAGCACCAGAGGUUAAAGCUUUGGAAACCACCAACUGUAACAAAGUCUGGGUAGACUCAAUUUUUGGCUAUGAUAGAACUACUUGAAGAAAUCCUUCAACAAUAAUCAUGAGUUUUGGAAACCAUCCAUCGGAUAUAGUCAGAACCGCGAGGAAGACAUUCAUUGACCUAGCACAUGACAUGACUGGCAUAAAUUUUCUAAAAUUUUACAGAAGUUUUCAAAAUUAUUUUCAAAAAUUUAAGACUAUUUUCAAAAAUCUUAUGAUUCACUUACUUAGUACUUGCCUAGACAUCAUUUGAGACAGAGUGUCAAGGUGGAAGUCUCAAUAUGGUGGAAUGCCUAAGAGAUGGCAAGGAGCAAAUCAAGGAUUGAAGAAGGUCAACAUGAAGUAAUUUCAUUCAACUAAUAAUUUUUCUGUGGAUGCAGGGAUCAAUACGCAAAAUGAGAGUCUCUUUCAAAAAUCCCUGAGCAAAUUGGGAGCCACAACAGAUCAUUAAUGCCCAAGAGCGGUAUUUUAGGACAACCCUAAAAAUAGGUUUAAUGCCCAUUUAUUGAGGACCUUUUGAUUUGUCCAUCUCAUUUCUUGAGAUCGUAGGCGAAAAACAAAAGCACUUUGUUUUAUUUACACGUAUCAUAUUUAGAAGUUUCCUAAAAAUAGUCGCUAGUAAAAGCGACUUUGUGUCUACUAAUCAUCUACCUUAAGUAUAAGUACAUGUAGAAAGUGGGAAACUGACAAAUGAAACCAGGUAAAAUUAUUUUAUCACUGCCACAAUGGCCAUUGCAUAUCAUUUCCACAAAGGCCAUCACAUAUCAUUGCCGCAAACGCCAUUACAUAUCUGUUAAUACGCUAGACACAAUGCUAGUAUCGAGGAUAUCAUCAACAUUCAAUAUCUGUUGACGCGCUAGACAUAAUGCUGGCAUCAAGGAUAUCAUCAUCAUUCAAUAUCUGUCGACACGCUAGACACAACGCUGGCAUCAAGGAUAUCAUCAACAUCCAAUAAAUCUAUCGACACGUUAGACACAACACUGGCGUAGAAGAUAUCAUCAGCAUCCAAUAUAUCUGUCGACACGCUAGACACAACGCUGGCAUCGAGGAUAUCAUCAGCAUCCAAUAUAUCUAUCGACAUGCUAGACAUAACGCUGGCGUAGAGGAUAUCAUCAGUAUCUAAUAUAUCUGUCGACAUGUUAGACAUAACGCUGGUGUCGAGGAUAUCAUCAACAUUCAAUAUCUGUUGAUGCACUAGACACAACACUGGCAUCGAGGAUAUCAUCAGUAUUCAAUAUAUCUAUCGACACGCUAGACACAACGAUGGCAUCGAGGAUAUCAUUAGCAUUCAAUAUAUCUGUUGACACGUAAGACACAACACUGGUAUCGAGGAUAUCAUCAUAUUUUUAUUAAUCAGCAUCUGAAUACAUUAAUAGAGCACGAUUUAGAGGGACGCCUUCAGGUUGCCAUCUAAGGAUGAAUGAUAUAUAAGAUUUCCUAGCAAUUGACAAUUUAAAGGUCAUCUAUAAGUCAUAUUAUUUGAAAUAGGAUAGUGUACAAGAUCACCUAUGAGUUGAUAGCCUAUAGGUCAUCCGUAAGCCACAAUAACAUCCUAANNNNNNNNNNNNNNNNNNNNNNNNNNNNNNNNNNNNNNNNNNNNNNNNNNNNNNNNNNNNNNNNNNNNNNNNNNNNNNNNNNNNNNNNNNNNNNNNNNNNNNNNNNNNNNNNNNNNNNNNNNNNNNNNNNNNNNNNNNNNNNNNNNNNNNNNNNNNNNNNNNNNNNNNNNNNNNNNNNNNNNNNNNNNNNNNNNNNNNNNNNNNNNNNNNNNNNNNNNNNNNNNNNNNNNNNNNNNNNNNNNNNNNNNNNNNNNNNNNNNNNNNNNNNNNNNNNNNNNNNNNNNNNNNNNNNNNNNNNNNNNNNNNNNNNNNNNNNNNNNNNNNNNNNNNNNNNNNNNNNNNNNNCCCUCGCAUCCAAUAUCAAAUAAUGCACAAGAUUAUCCAAAGAUUGACAAUUUAAGGAAAAUUUAUAAAUCAAUCAUCGGCUAUAACUGGAGAGUUCAUCAUUCCACAUACAACAAGUGAUAUAGGUAACCAAAAGGGUUGCCAUACCAGCAUAAAAUUUCACGGUUGUAAAGACUGUUUUGCAUAAAGUAUCGCCGGUGUCCAAAAGGGCUGCCCCACUUUGAAGACGUAUUAAACCGAUAAAUGUCAUAAUUAUACAACAACCAAGAGGAUUUUUGUUUUUGUUGUUUCCAGUUAUGCCAUUCCAAAUAGGUACCAUGAAGAGAUGACUCCACUUUUCAGGCCACAACUCACACGGAGAUAUGGUAAAAGACUACCUACAUCUUUUAUGAAUUAUUUUAGUACUAACACUUUUUGCUUGAGAAAUUGUUGAGAGCAUCCAAAAGGAUGAAAAUCUCAAAUCAAAACCACAGGUGCGGACAACUCCCAAAAGGACGCAACACGACGUGGAACUCUUUCUCAGCAGUAAAAUGGGACAUAGUCUAAAGAGGGACGUCAAACUCUUUGGACGCUAGCUAAAGGAUGAUCACCACCACCAUCCAACCACACCCCUAUUAGACGGGUUGUGGAUAUUUCAGGAUAUUGUGGUUUUAGCUUCACCUUCGGGAUAUUUUAAAACUCAUGCCGAGGGUAACUUUUUUUUUUUCAAAUUCAGGUGGCAACACACUUAGAGUUUUGGAAAUUAAGUCCAGGUAAGUUCUUGACUAUGGAUGUGAAGGAUCCCAUAUUCAUGGUCAGGAGGUUACAAGCCUCUUUUCUACAACUCAAUCAACUUGUCACUCAUUUCGAGCCAAAGAUGGUCUGAAAUAAAAGACUAUCUUUUCUACCGAUUGAGUCGAACCACAAGCAGUCUGAUUCCCUAAAAUCUUAGGGAUAUGUAGGCUGGGAUCUAUGUAUAAAACUCGACUGCAUUCCAACCUUCCCCCUAAUCCCUUUAUUCCCCAGUUUCUCGGUUUUAUCAAACACUCUAAAACUGAGAUAACUUAUGAUUUUUUUGAAAAUCGUGUUUUAAAUCAAGAUCUAUGAAGUAAAAGAGGCCUGAAUUCUCAUGUAACCUGGGAUAUAUAGGAAACCUAAUACCGAGGUCCGACCAUGACUCAAUGAAACUCGUGCAAAAACCAACCUCUUUUAGAUUCGAAUCUAUGGUCGGACAAAAAUUAGGAAUGUCAACCUCCCUUUGCCCAGGGUUACUUACAUCCACCCUACCAAAAGGGAGGGGGCAGCUGUUGACACCUAAUUUUUUACCUUCACGACUAAAUUUAAUCCUGAGUUUCUCCAGUUUUUAAUAAACCAAAAUAAUUAUUUCAUCCAAAUAAAAAAAAUUAAAAUAUUUUUGUACGUGAUUUUGUCAUUUUAAGUAGAGAUUAUAUACUAUCAUGUUCAGUUAUAUGAGAUUAUAUAAUUUUUACUUAAAUAUUUAUUUUACAAAAUAUCAGAUUUAGUUAAGGCUUAUCUUGAAAAUAAAUUCAAAUGAUUAAAAUCUUAAUUUAAAUAUAACUUAUUCUCAAAAAUAAUUUAUUUGGACAAAUAUGCAUUCAUUUUAUCAAAUCAAGAAGCUCGGGAUAAAAAACAAGUAUUAAAUUAAUUUAGCCAAUCUAUUAGAUUUGACCAUAAUUGAAAAUUGGUCAUAAUUGCAAUGCAAUUCGUCAAUUAAUUUUUAAUUUGGUCAAAAUAAAUAAAUAUGACUAAAUUUUAAAUUUCAAUUGGGGUUAUAUUUUAAGUAACCCCAAAAUUCUCAAGAACUCUCAUAACUUUUACCCAAUUCCCACCAAAAAAUAAAUUCAAAUUGCACUAUUCCCCCCAACUUUGUCCUUUUUGAAAUUCAAAGAUUGUACUAUUGUACUAUUUCCCCCCAAAUUAUCUUCCACCUCACCUUAUCUUUAAAUUUUUACAUUCCAAAAACCACCCUAAAUGCUUUUUCUCCCACAUUGGUAGAUGACAAAAAAUAAAUCUCUAUCCUUUCCUAUAAAUACUGUUCUCCCACAUUGGUGGAAAAAGGAAAAAAAUACCCCAUUCUCUCCUAUAAAUACUACCACUACUUUGGUAGAGAGAGGAGUGGAGAAGGAAGAAAAAAAAGGUUAGAAAUGUGAAAAAAUCCUUUUGAGCAAAAAUAGUUAUUUUUAUUUAGUAAAAAUUUUUGUUUCAAAAGUUGAUCGGCUAAUCAAAAUUUUUGAGUUGCCAGCGACGUUUUUCGGUGGUGGUUGAUUCCAACGAAGCUCGUAGUCUCGUUUUGCUACCCCAAAAAAGGUAAACACACCUUUUUUUAUUUUAGUUUUUAUUAUUGUUUUCUUCUUCAUCUUUUUUUUCUUCGUAGUUCGUAGAUAUAAUUUUGUUUGUUGGGAUUGUAUGCUGUAGAUGGACUUGAAGGCCCUAGGACGUUGUGGUAUCGAUAUUCUAAUUAUUUUUAUGUUCAUGAUAUAAAAAUGAGCUAGCAAUAGUUGUAUGUGCCUUUUUUUUACUUUAUUCUUUGAUUAUUUUGGAUAAAGUUUCAAUCUUUGCUUAAAAGAUGUAUUUAUGCUUUGUUUAAACUCAUUGUUGUUGGAUACAUUUACUUUUAGUGUGUAAAGUUAAUUUUUUUUAUGUUUAGAAGAAUAGUUAAUGUUGAAUGUUUUGCCUUUUCACCUUAUUCUUUGAUUAUUUGAAUGAAGUUUAGAUCUUUACUUGAAAAUAAUACUCAUGUCUUGUUUAAACUUAUUGUUGGUAGAUAUAUUUGUUUUUAGCAUGUAAAGUUAUUUCCUUUAUGUUGAAAAUAAUAGAUAAUAUUGAUUGUUUCUCCUUUUUUACUUUAUUCUUUGAUUAUUUUGNNNNNNNNNNNNNNNNNNNNNNNNNNNNNNNNNNNNNNNNNNNNNNNNNNNNNNNNNNNNNNNNNNNNNNNNNNNNNNNNNNNNNNNNNNNNNNNNNNNNNNNNNNNNNNNNNNNNNNNNNNNNNNNNNNNNNNNNNNNNNNNNNNNNNNNNNNNNNNNNNNNNNNNNNNNNNNNNNNNNNNNNNNNNNNNNNNNNNNNNNNNNNNNNNNNNNNNNNNNNNNNNNNNNNNNNNNNNNNNNNNNNNNNNNNNNNNNNNNNNNNNNNNNNNNNNNNNNNNNNNNNNNNNNNNNNNNNNNNNNNNNNNNNNNNNNNNNNNNNNNNNNNNNNNNNNNNNNNNNNNNNNNNNNNNNNNNNNNNNNNNNNNNNNNNNNNNNNNNNNNNNNNNNNNNNNNNNNNNNNNNNNNNNNNNNNNNNNNNNNNNNNNNNNNNNNNNNNNNNNNNNNNNNNNNNNNNNNNNNNNNNNNNNNNNNNNNNNNNNNNNNNNNNNNNNNNNNNNNNNNNNNNNNNNNNNNNNNNNNNNNNNNNNNNNNNNNNNNNNNNNNNNNNNNNNNNNNNNNNNNNNNNNNNNNNNNNNNNNNNNNNNNNNNNNNNNNNNNNNNNNNNNNNNNNNNNNNNNNNNNNNNNNNNNNNNNNNNNNNNNNNNNNNNNNNNNNNNNNNNNNNNNNNNNNNNNNNNNNNNNNNNNNNNNNNNNNNNNNNNNNNNNNNNNNNNNNNNNNNNNNNNNNNNNNNNNNNNNNNNNNNNNNNNNNNNNNNNNNNNNNNNNNNNNNNNNNNNNNNNNNNNNNNNNNNNNNNNNNNNNNNNNNNNNNNNNNNNNNNNNNNNNNNNNNNNNNNNNNNNNNNNNNNNNNNNNNNNNNNNNNNNNNNNNNNNNNNNNNNNNNNNNNNNNNNNNNNNNNNNNNNNNNNNNNNNNNNNNNNNNNNNNNNNNNNNNNNNNNNNNNNNNNNNNNNNNNNNNNNNNNNNNNNNNNNNNNNNNGUUGAUUUGGGUCCAAUGGCCUAAAUCCUUUACUUUCUCCUCCCUUCUCCUUUUAUGUGUUUAUUUGUUUAUUAGUUUUGUUUAGACUUAGUUAAAAUCCCUACUAAGUCGCCUAAGUUUAUUUUACACAAAUCUUUUUUUUGAAAAAAAAUCAAAUCACUAUUUCAACAAAUUACUCUUUUCGAAGUUAAUGAAAAGAGGAUUUUCAAACAGUCCGGAUAACCGGAAGUUAGCGGACGUUUUAGUUGCCUAACACCUUCCUAAAAUGUUAAUAGGAAUUGCUUAUCUAGAAUCUCUAACUUAAAUGAUUUUCCUAUUUUGAAUCGUUUGAAGUAACUUUUAUAAAGGUUUCUUAAUUUCUUUUCAAAAUUAAGGGGCGAUUCUCUUCAAAAGUCAAAAUUUCCGCAAAACAGAAGUGACGACUCAGCUGGGGAUCUUUAACUAGGUUCUAACCAAAUGAUUGAUUUCAUCUUUUGAUUAACUGUUUAUGUGUUCUGAUUAUGUAAAGUUUAAUUAUCGCAUCUCAUGGCAUAUUCCUGCAUCUUAUAAGCUGUUUUGGGGUUUCGUAGAUGUCCCGGCCCCUGUUGUUCAAUUCCAAAAUGUGUUGGAAAUACGAAUAGCUUAUCAGCACGUGAGUCAUCUGACGCUGUUCGUAUUUUCAAACUCAAGUUGUCCGCUUGAGAACCAAUUUUCAAACCCACUCUAGACACCUAGGAUAGAACGAAACUAAAACCCUAUUUUAGGCAUGAGCCUAGGACGACCCAAUACCCAAGCGGGGUAUUUGGCCGAUUAGAAUACCUGCCCUACGUCUAUUGACCCUGAGGCAAUUAUAGAUGAACCAUAUUUAUGUGUUAAAGAAAAUGUAUGUCUGUCUAGUUCAAUCCAUUAUCCUUUGGGGGUCGGGAAAAAGCUUGAUUUGCUUACUUUCGUAAGAAGAAUUGAAGCAAGUUAAGUAAGAAAUUGAUCCAUUUGGGAGGUUGCAUCUAAGGCACAAUUUGAGCGCCGACGGAUGUCACCAAUAUGAGAAGUAGACAAAGCUAAGAAGGCAAAGGCAGAUGAAGGAGCCUCCAGCAGCUAGUUUUUCUAUUCUCUCCUGCGCGGGAACUUAUCCUUUUUUAUGUUAUUUCCCUUUUUCUCAAAGAUUGUAUCCGUCUUUUAUUAUCGUUUGUACGCAUUUAUGCCCCCUUCGUAUCUAUAUAAGUUGGGGUAUAAUGGAUUGACUUUAGGGAAACAUAUACUUUCUUCAAAAAUUGUUAGGCCUUAACCCUUGGCUCAAAAAGGGUCACCCCAGUUAGGAUACACAUUAUUAUAAUAUUUUGUGUGCUUGUGGUGUUUGUUUGGAUCAAAGGCAAGUUUAUCCACUAUGCUCCUAUGGAUGAAUUUGUCUAGGACUCAAACAAUUCUAUAUGGUUAUUUUCUGUCAAAUAUUUUGCAUUACUUAUCACAUACGAAAACUAACAUAUCUGCCUUUGAGUUAUUUUACUUAAAAGAUAAUAGAAAUUACUCCAUGUUGAUAUAAGCUGACAGAACAUCCCCACAUCACCCGAUCGAAAGCGCACAAAAUCCCAUACUCUGACCAUCAUUCAAAAAUAAUGGGAAAUGAUGAAGAAAGCGCACUGACUAUCCGGGAUAAUGUGAUAGCGGAACAUAAUGAGAUGAUUGCGGAACUUGCAAGAAAGUUAGAAAUGCUUCAGGAAGAAAUAAAUUGCACUCGGGAUUUGGCUAACUUGGCCAUCACCAUCAAUGCUCCUGCUCCGGGAGAACAUGGGACUCCACUCCAAAUUUUCCCCCUCAGCACACCUAUUCUCGGGGAUCAACCGAAUAACGUAUCAUUCAGCUCCGCUCCUCCAUUUGUCCAAAAUACUAAUCAUGAAAAUAAUCCAAACGUCUACCAUCAGCAAAUCCAUCCGUAACCCCACAGAACCCACCUUCGAAUCCAUUCCCAAAUCCUUAAAACACAUUUCCAAAUCCUCAAAACACAUUUCCAAAUCCACAAGAUUCACUCCCAAAUCCACAAAAUACAUUAAACCUACCUUUGAAUCCACUAAAUUCAUGUCCAAAUCUGCGAAAUCCUUCUCAAAUUUUACCAAACUACUUACAAAGUCCACAGAGCCUUCCCAAUUUCCAAAACAUCCUUCCCACUUACCAACCAAAUUCCUUUCAUCCACAAAAUCAAGCCUCUCUUCUAAAUCCAUUUUAGGAUAUUGUAUCUCCUAACACCUAUGAAACCCCUUCUUAAUCCCGAGAUGGACCAUUAUGAGGAGAAGGAGAAAGAGUGAAAGGCCCAGCAUGAAAGGAAUUUACUAGCUAUGAAGGAAGAGAUCAUGAGGAUCAAAGAGUCUCAUAGAGCCAAGGACCACGACGGUUAGGGGUAUGACGAUUUACGUGUUCACCCGGGAGUAGAUCUACCAGAAGGGUACAAAGUCCCUAAGUUUGAGAUGUUUGACGGUAUCGGAAAUCCAAUGGACCGUCUAAGAAGGUACUAUGAGCAACUGGUAGGGAUAGGGAAAAACGAGGCGCUAUUGAUGCACCUAUUCAGUCGAAGUUUGAAUGGUGAAGCCUUGGAGUGGUUCAUGUCUCAGGAGCCAAAAAAUUUGACUGGUUGGAAAACAUUGGCCAAGGGUUUCCUUGAUCGAUUCGCAUUCAACAUCGAAAUAGUCCCUGACUGAUAUUCACUAGAUCGGAUCAAACAAAAGAGCGUUGAGAGUUUUUGAGACUAUGCUUUUCAUUAUAGGAAAGAAGCUGCCAAAGUGCAACCCCCAUGUCCGAGGAGGAAAUGGUAUUCGUGUUCUCUCGCACUCAAGAAGGAGAAUAUUAUACCAGGAUGGUGUCCACUGUCAGAGCAACCUUUGCGGAUUUGGUAAAAAUAGGAGAAUCAUUGGAAGAAGGUAUUCGGACAGGAAAAUUUGCCAAAACCCCGACAUCAUCUGGAACUACUAUGUUUUCUAAGAAGAAGGAGGAAGAGGUAGGUGGGAUUUCUGCCAAUUCUGUUAUAAAAUUGAAACAGCUGUUUAACUCUAGAAAUAUUUUAUCUUCCCCGCAAUCACCUAACCUUCCGUACGCAUUCUAAGUCCACCCCCAAUACCAAACUCCACUCCCAAACAUUCCACUAUCAUACCAAGCUCCAUAGCCAAAUAUCUUUCCCCAAUACUCUAUUCCACCUCCAAAUUAUCAGUCUCAUUUCCAAACUACUCCCCCAAAUAGUCAAAAAUUUUCCAAACACCUCCAAAUUACCACCAAGUACCCCCUCCUACAAACCUAAGCCCGUAUAACCCCCAGCGUCCAAACCACAAAAAGAAACCUCCCCAAAACUUCACCCCACUAGCUGAAAGUCGGACCCAAUUAUUUGAAAGAUUAAAGAAUGCUGGUCAUUUGCAACCAGUACAGCCAAAGCAUGUCAAUCCUAGCUCCCAAUUUUAUCACCCUAAUCAAAAUUGUGCCUAUCAUUCAGGGGCAGCAGGGCAUAGUAUCGAGGACUGCCUUAUCUUGAAACACAGAAUCCAAGAUCUGAUUGAUCAAAAGGUCAUCACGCUCCAGGAACCUACUCUAAAUGUUAGCAGUAAUCCACUGCCCAACCAUGAGGACCUACAGUUAACAUGAUUGAAAUAGAAGGCGAAUGGGAAUCUGGCAAGACCAUUACCCAGGUGAACUCCAAAAAGCGUAAAAAGGCGGAAGAGGUAGGAAAGAUAGAGAAACCUGUGGUUGCCUUAAGUAUCAACGAGAAAGCCCUAUUUAUAGUGAUGACUGGACCGACUCAAGUGUACGCUCCCCCUCCAAAGAAGGAAUUUAUUGUGCAAACCGCCGCUGCCCAGGGGAUGAUGCGAUCAGGACGAUGUUACAUCCCUGAGGAAUUGACCAACAAGAAAGAUUCAUAGAAAAGGCCAAUCACUGAAGGAGAGGCUAAGGAAUUUUGAAGGCGUAUGCAACCAAAGAAUUACUUAAUUGUCAAACACUUGGAGAAAACGUCAGCCCAAAUCUUUUUCUUGGCACUAUUAUUGAGCUCGCAAUAUCACUGAUAGGCUCUGUCGAAUGUCUUGGAGGAAGUGUAUGUUCCCAUAGGAACGAGCGUUGAUAAUUUGGCUGCGAUGAUAGGGAACAUUAUGGGGAACCAUCACAUAUAAUUUAGUGAUGAAGAGUUGCCGUUUAAAGGAGCAAUGCACAACGAAGUCAUGGAUGUCCUCGUCAUUUGUCGAGGUUAUACAAUUAAUCAAGUAUUAAUAGACGAUGGAUCUGAUGUGAAUAUUUUUCCCCUCUCCACGUUGGUCCAAAUAGGCUAUGAUCUGGGGAAAAUUCGUCAAAGUCACGUAAAUGUGAGAGCAUUCGAUGGAGGGCAGAGAGAUACUAUAAGAGAGAUUGAUUUGCAUAUCCAAAUGGGGCCUGCUGAGUUUAAGACUAAGUUUCAUGUUAUGGAUAUCCAUCCUAGCUACAACCUGCUUUUGGGAAGACCAUGGAUACACGGGGAAAAGGCAAUUUCAUCACCCCUUUAUCACUUAUUGAAGUUCAUAUGGAAAGAUCAUGAAGUAGUCAUCCAAGGAGAAGGAAGUCGAGCGGACCAUCCCAAUGGUUAUGUGCUGGUGAUUGAAGAUGUUCCAAAAGGUAUCAGUUUCUAUACAGUGAAAAUUGUAAAUGGUGCGAAAAAAGAUUCAACACCCAAAAAUCAAUGCCUUCUGUCUACAAAAUAUUGCAACUAUGAUGUUAAGAAAUGGGUUUGAACCAGGUCGAGGCUUGGGCAAGAAUUUAUAAGGAAUUAUCAAGCCUAUUGUGAUCCCAGAGAGAAGCUCUAAGCACGAGUUAGGGUAUCAGCCUACCAGAAAAGAUAGGGUUGUUUAGCCUCUUAGCACUCCUGUUCCAGUCAUUUCCCGUACGAGAGAUGUCAGAUGAUGGUGGUCUUAGGGAUGGGAUAGGAGAUUUGUUUGAAGGAUGCAAUGAUGUACCAGAAGAUCUCCCAGAGUCCAGUGGGGUGAAGCAAAUUGCGCCAGGGGAGGCUUUGCAAAAUUAGACCUCCACUCCACUCAUAACCCAUCGCCCGUCGUGUAAUAGUAGCUUAAAACCUACCAAUAUUGUGUCAUAUCAAAUCCUGAACGAACAAAAUAAAGAGGACAAUGAUGGUUAGAAGGACGAUGAUGAGGAAUGGUUAGGUAAAGAUAUGGGGGAAUUUGAGAAUCAUGAAAAACCCAAUCUAGAAGAAACUGAAACAGUCAACUUGGGAGAUCACGAUGAAAUCAAAGAGACCAGUAUCAGUGUCCACCUCGUGGUGCCACAAAGGGAAGAGCUCAUCCACCUGUUGCAAGAGUAUAUCGACGUGUUUUCUUGGUCCUAUGAUGAUAUGCCAGGGUUGAGCACCAGCAUUGUGUCACAUAAAUUACUGAUAAAUUCUGAGUUUGAUCCAGUCAAGCAAAAACUGAGAAAAUUCAAGUCAGAUUUAACUCUAAAGAUCAAGGAAGAAGUAACAAAACAAAUCUAGUCUAAGGUUGUCGAGAUCACAAAAUGUCCGACAUGGUUGGCCAACAUCGUCCCUGUGCCAAAGAAGGAUGACAAGAUUCGGAUUUGUGUUGACUAUAGAGACUUGAACAGAGCCAGUCCUAAAGAUAAUUUUCCAUUGCCCAACAUCCAUAUUCUUAUUGAUAACUGUGCGAAACAUGAAAUGCAGUCAUUCAUUGAUUGUUUCACCGGCUAUCAUCAGAUACUGAUGGAUAAGGAAGAUGCAAAAAAAAUAGCUUUUAUUACGCCCUGAGGUGUUUAUCAUUACAAGGUAAUGCCGUUUAGUCUCAAGAAUGCAGGUGCAACAUAUAUGAGGGCCAUGACGAUGAUUUUUCAUGAUAUGAUCCAUAAGGAGAUUGAGGUGUACGUGGAUGAUGUAAUUAUCAAAUCCCGCGAGAGUUCGGAUCAUCUAACUCAUCUGGAGAAAUUCUUUAAUUAAGAAGGUACAGUUUGAAGUUAAAUCUUGCUAAGUGUACUUUUGGUGUGCCAUCAAGGAAGUUGCUGGGGUUCAUAGUCAGCAGAAGGGGGAUCGAGCUAGACCCAUCCAAGAUCAAGACAAUUCAAUACUUGCCACCGCCGAGGACCAAGAAAGAAGUUGUGAGUUUCCUGGGUCGUCUGAAUUACAUUAGCAGAUUCAUCGCUCAAUCAACAGUCAUAUGCGAGCCAAUUCUCAAGAUGUUGAAGAAAAAUGCACUGAAUAAGUGGACAGAAGAAUGUCAGAGAGCUUUUGAUCACAUCAAGGAAUACUUGUCUGCACCACCAGUUUUGGUCCCAGUGAGAGAAGGAAUUCCAUUAUUUCUUUACCUGUCAGUCUAAAAAAAGGCUUACAGAUGCAUCCUCAGGAAACAUGACGAGACCGGCAAGAAAGAGAAAGCCAUUUACUACUUGAGUAAAAAGUUCACACCAUAUGAAGCCCGUUACACUUUUAUAGAAAAGACAUGUUGUUCUUAGACUUGGAUGACACAAAAAUUGAGGCAUUAUCUAUCGUCCUACACAACUUACCUCAUCUUGAGAAUGGAUCUAUUGAAGUAUAUAUUCCAGAAGGCCAUACUUACAGGAAAGCUAGCCAAGUGGCAAAUAUUGCUGAGUGAGUUUGACAUUGUGUAUGUAACCCAAAAAGCAAUCAAAGGGCAAGCCUUAGCAGAUCAUUUGGCUAAAAACCCAGUUGAUGAGGAAUACGAUCCACUUUGGACAUACUUUCUAGACAAGGAAGUUUUGUUAGUAGGAGAAGAUAUCAUGGAAAUCUACCCCGGAUGGAGGCUAUUUUUUUAUGGGGCGGUCAACUUUAAAGGUUUAGGAAUUGGAGCAGUUUUGGUGUUAGAAACGGGCCAAAAUUAUCCGGUAACUGCUAAGUUACAUUUUCCAUGCACCAACAACAUGGCUGAAUAUGAAGCGUGCAUCCUGGGGCUUAAAUUGACACUUGACAUGGGUGUUUGUGAAUUGUUAUCCAUUGGAUAUUCAGAUUUGCUGAUUCACCAGGUACGGGGAGAAUGGGCGGUAAAAAACUCCAAGAUUACUCCUUAUGUAGAGCUGGUGCAAGAAUUAUGCGCAAGAUUCAAGGAUGUUGAUUUCAGACAUAUCCCACAGACACAAAACGAGUUUGCUGAUGCUUUGGCCACGAUAUUUUCCAUGAUUCAGCACCCGGAUCAGAGUUACAUCGAUCCUUAGGAAAUAAGCCUGAAGCAGCAACCCGCGCAUUGUAUACACGUGGAAGAGGAGCCUGAUGGAAGGCCUUGGUACUAUGACAUUAAGAGGUAUUUGGAAUCUGGAAUAUAUUCUGAAGAGGCUAGUAAUAACCAAAAGAAGACAAUCCGGAGUUUGGGAAAGAAUUGCUUUCCAAGUGGAGAAAUUCUUUUCAGGAGGACUCCUGAUUUGGGAUUCCUAAGAUGCGUUGAUGCGGCGAAAGCCAAUAAGUUGAUAAACAAGGUACACGCUAGAGUUUGUGGGGCCCACAUUAAUGGGUUUAUCCUUGCCAGAAAGAUCCUGAGAACCGGUUACUUCUGGAUGACUAUGGAAAAUGAUUGUAGUAAGUUUGUACAGAGAUGUCCAAAAUGUCAAAUACACGGAGAUCUGAUUCGAAUGUCUCCACACGAGCUUCACGUAAUGAAUUCUCCUUGGCCUUUCAUAACUUGGGUCAUGGAUGUCAUCAGACCAAUAGAGCCACUAGCAUCGAAUGGGCAUAGAUUUAUUUUGGUUGCCAUUGAUUAUUUCACUAAGUGGGUCGAAGUUACUUCAUACAGAGCCAUCACUAAGAAAGUGGUUGCAGAUUUCAUCAGGAAUAACUUGAUUUGCCGAUUUAGAGUGCGGAAAUUGAUUAUUACUGAUAAUGGGGAAAACCUAAACAGUCACUUGAUGAAAGAAAUUUAUGAUCAGUUCAAUAUUAUGCAUCGCAACUCGAUAGCGUACCAUCCCCAAAUGAAUGGAGCCGUAGAAGCUGUUAACAAGAAUAUCAAGAAGAUCUUGAGAAAGAUGGUCGAAAAUGAUAGAUCAUGGCACGAGAUGUGACCUUACGCCUUGCUAGGGUAUCGAACAACAGUUCGAACCUCCANNNNNNNNNNNNNNNNNNNNNNNNNNNNNNNNNNNNNNNNNNNNNNNNNNNNNNNNNNNNNNNNNNNNNNNNNNNNNNNNNNNNNNNNNNNNNNNNNNNNNNNNNNNNNNNNNNNNNNNNNNNNNNNNNNNNNNNNNNNNNNNNNNNNNNNNNNNNNNNNNNNNNNNNNNNNNNNNNNNNNNNNNNNNNNNNNNNNNNNNNNNNCAAUCAAUUCUGAUGCGGUAAAGAGAUAUUAUGUUUGAAUGACGUUCUAGUUUUUGUGUUUUCUUAGUUUGUUUGUAAUCACCUUUGUAAUAAUGUUGUUUGCUAGUGUGUAACUUCCUAGAAUCCUUUCUCUUUAUGCACGAACUACGUUUGACCUGAAUUUCCAAGAAAGGGAUACGUAGGCGGCCUAUGUCGGCUUCGGUCAACCCCUUAGGAUAAUUAUCCUUUCCCCUCUAUGUGUGAACUACGUGAUGACCUGAAUUCCCAAUAAAAGGGAUACGUAGGUGGCCUAUGUCGGCUUUGGUCAACCCAUUAAUUUCUUUUGUAUAUCCCUAGCAUAGCCUGAACUACGUUUGACCUGAUUCCUACUUCAACGGGAUUCGUAGGCGCCCCAACGGGUGGUCAUAUAACCCUAGGAAAUGGAAACUGGAGCAGAAUUUUUUAGAAGGAAUCUCCAAAAUUCACAAGAGAAGAUCGACAUCCAACAAAGAGAAUGAAGAUCAGCAAAGACUUCAGAUCCACUCAGAUUGGUGUUAUCUCAAACAAGUUUAAACUGGGGCAGAAAUUUUGAGGAAGACCUCAAAAUUUCCACCAAAUGCUGGAACAUAUUCCAAAUUCCCCAGCACCANNNNNNNNNNNNNNNNNNNNNNCCUCCAACAAUAAUCAUGAGUUUUGGAAACCAUUCAUCGGAUAUAGUCAGAACUGCGAGGAAGACGUUUAUUGAGCUAGUACAUGACAUGACUGGCAGAAAUUUUCUAAAAUUUUACAGAAGUUUACAAAAUUAUUUUCAAAAAUUUAAGACUAUUUUCAAAAAUCUUACGACUCACUUACUUAGUACUUGCCUAGACAUCAUUUGGGAUAGAGUGUCAAGGUGGAAGUCUUAAUAUGGUGGAAUGCCCAAGAUAAAUUAGGAGCCACAACAGAUCAUUAAUGCCUAAGAACGGUAUUUUAAGGCAGCCCUAAAAAUAGUUUUAAUGCCCAUUUAUUGAGGACCUUUUGAUUUGUCCAUCUCAUUUCUUGAGAUCGUAGGCGACAAACAAAAGCACUGUCUUCUUUACACGCAUUGUAUUUAGAAUUUUCCUAAAAAUAGUCGCUAGUAAAAGCGACUUUGUGUCUACUAAUCGUCUACCUUGAGUACAGGUACAUGUAGAAAGUGGGAUAUUGACAAAUGAAGCUAGGUAAAAUUAUUUUAUCACUGCCACAAUGGCCACUGCAUAUCAUUGCCGCAAAGGCCAUCACAUAUCAUUGCCACAAAGGCCAUUACAUAUCUGUUGAUGCACUAGACACAAUGCUGGCAUCGAGGAUAUCAUCAGCAUUCAAUAUCUGUUAACGUGCUAAACACAAUGCUGGCGUCGAGGAUAUCAUCAUCAUUCAAUAUCUGUCGACAUGCUAGACACAACGCCGGCGUCAAGGAUAUCAUCAGCAUCCAAUAUAUCUAUCAACAUACUAGACACAAUGCUAGCGUCGAGGAUAUCAUCAGCUUCCAAUAUAUCUAUCAACACGCUAGAAACAACGCUGGCAUAGAGGAUAUCAUUAAUAUCUAAUAUAUCUGUCGACAUGCUAGACACAAUGCUGGCAUCAAGGAUAUCAUCAGCAUUCAAUAUCUGUUGACGCACUAGACAUAAUGCUGGGGUCGAGGAUAUCAUCAGCAUUUAAUGUAUCUGUUGACACGCUAGACACAACGCUAGCAUCGAGGAUAUCAUUAGUAUUCAAUAUAUCUAUUGACACGCAAGACACAACACUGGCGUCGAGGAUAUCAUCAUUUUUUCAUAAAUCAGCAUCUAAAUACAUUAAGAGCGCACGAUUUGGAGGGACGCCUUCAGAUCUCCAUCUAAGGAUGAAUGAUAUAUAAAAUUUCCUAGCAAUUGACAAUUUGAAGGUCAUAUAUAAGUCAUAUUAUUUAAAAUAUGAUAGUGUGCAAGAUCACCUAUGAGUUGAUAGCCUAUAGGUCAUCUGUAAGCCACAAUAACAUCCUAACCGAAUACUGUGAAAAAUCGCCCAAAAGUUGAUAGUUCAAAGGUUAUUCGUAAGUCGCAACUAAAUCCUUCCCGGAGGAUAUGUAAGAUUGUCAAAUUGAUACGUCCAAGGAUUCUCUAUAAGCCGCGUCAUAUCCAAGAUCGAUUAUGUGCAGGAUUACCCAAAGACGAUCAAUUUGAGGGAGUAUCUAUAAGUCAUAUUGUAUCCAAGGUCAGAUGAUGUAUAGGAACACCUGAAAGCUAGCGAUUGGAGGAGUAUCUGUAAGUCAUCUCUUAUCCAAAGUCAGAUGAUGUGCAGGAUUACCUAAAAGCUAGAAAUUUAAAGGAUAUCUGUAAGUCACCUCGCAUCCAAUAUAUAAUAAUGCACAAGAUUAUCCAAAGAUUGACAAUUUAAGGAAAAUUUAUAAAUCAAUCAUAGGCUAUAACCGGAGAGUUCGUCAUUCCACAUAUAACAAGUGAUAUAGGUAACCAAAAGGGUUGUCACACCAGCACAAGAUUUUACGGUUGUAGAGACCAUUCUGCAUAAAGUACCACUGGUGUCCAAGAGGGAUGCCCCACUUUGAAGACGUAUUAAACCGAUAAAUGUCAUAAUUAUAUAACAACCAAGAGGGUUUUUGUGUUUGUUGUUUCCAGUUAUUUUAUUCCAAACAGGUACCAUGAAGAGAUAACUCCACUUUUCAGGCCAUAACUCACACGGAUAUAUGGUAAAAGACUACCUACAUCUUUCAUGAAUCAUUUUAGUACUAACACUUUUUUCUUGAUAAAUUUUCGAGAGCAUCCAAAAGGAUGAAAAUGUCAAAUCAAAACCACAGGUGCGGAUGACUCCAAAAAGGACGCAACACGACGUGGAACUCAUUCUCAGCAGCAAAAUGGGACAUAGUCUAAAGAGGGACGUUAAACUCUUUGGACGUGAGCUAAAGAAUGAUCACCACCACCAUCCAACCACACCCCUAUUACAAGGCUUAUGGGUAUUUCAGGAUAUUCUGGUUUUAGCUUCACCUUCGGGAUAUUUUUAAACUCAUGUCGAGGGUGACCUUCUCUUUUUUUCAAAUUCGAGUGGAAACACACUUAGAGUUUUGGAAAUUAUGUCCAGGUAAGUUCUUGAAUAUGGAUGUGAAGGAUCCCACAUUCAUGGUCAAGAGGUUACAAUCCUCUUUUCUACAACUCGAUCAACUUGUCACUCAUUCCGAGCCAAAGAUGGUCUGAAAUAAAAGACUAUAUUUUCUACUGAUUGAGUUGAACCACAAGCAGUCUGAUUCCCUAAAAUCUUGGGGAUAUGUAGGAUGGGAUCUAUGUAUAAAACUCGACUGCAUUCCAACCUCCCCCCUAAUUCCUUUAUUCCCCAGUUUCUCGGUUUUAUCAAACACUCUAAAACUGAGAUAACUUGUGAAUUUUUUGAAAAUCGUGCUUUAAAUCAAGCUCUAUGAACUACAAGCGGCCUGAAUUCUCAUAUAGCCUGGGAUAUGUAGGAAACCUAAUACCGAGGUCCGGCCAUGACUCAAUAAAACUCGUGCGAAAACCAACCUCUUUCAGAUUUUCGAAUCUAUGGUUGGACAAAAAUUAGGAAUGUCAACCACCCUUUGCCCAGGGUUACUUACAUCCACUCUACCCAAAGGGAGGGGGCAGUUGUUGACACCUAAUUUUUGACCUCCACGACUAAAUUUAAUCCUGAGUUUCUUCAGUUUUUAAUAAACCAAAAUAAUUAUUUCAUCUAAAUAAAAAAAAAGUUAAAAUAUUUUUUUUACAUGAUUUUGUCAUUUUAAGUAGAGAUUAUAUACUAUCAUGUUCAGUUAUACGAGAUUAUAUAAUUUUUACUUAAAUAGUUAUUUUACAAAAUAUCAGAUUUAAUUAUGGCUUAUCUUGAAAAUAAAUUCAAACGAUUAAAAUCUUAAUUUAAAUAUAAUUUAUUCUCAAAAAUAAUUUAUUUGGAUAAAUAUGCAUUCAUUUUAUUAAAUCAAGAAGCUCAGGAUAAAAAAAAAAGUAUUAAUUUAAUUUAGCCAAUCUAUUAGAUUUGACCAUAAUUAAAAAUUGGUCAUAAUUGUAAUGCAAUUCGUCAAUUAAUUUUUAAUUUGGUCAAAAUAAAUAAAUAUGACUAAAUUUUAAAUUCCAAUUGGGGUUAUAUUUUAAGUAACCCCAAAAUUCUCAAGAACUCUCAUAACUUUUACCCAAUUCCCACCAAAAANNNNNNNNNNNNNNNNNNNNNNNNNNNNNNNNNNNNNNNNNNNNNNNNNNNNNNNNNNNNNNNNNNNNNNNNNNNNNNNNNNNNNNNNNNNNNNNNNNNNNNNNNNNNNNNNNNNNNNNNNNNNNNNNNNNNNNNNNNNNNNNNNNNNNNNNNNNNNNNNNNNNNNNNNNNNNNNNNCCCCAUUCUCUGCUAUAAAUACUACCACUACUUUGGUAGAGAGAGGAGGGGAGAAGAAAGAAAAAAAAAGGCUAGAAAGGUGAAAAAAAUCCUUUUGAGCAAAAAUAGUUAUUUUUAUUUAGUAAAAAUUUUUGUUUCAAAAGUUGAUCGGCUAAUCAAAAUUUGAGUUGCCAGCGACGUUUUUCGGUGGUGGUUGAUUCCAAAUUCGGCUAAUCAUCUUUUUUCUUCUUUGUAGUUCGUAGAUAUAAUUUUGUUUGUUGGGAUUGUAUGCUGUAGAUGGCCUUGAAGGCCCUAGGACGUUGUGGUAUCGAUAUUCUAAUUAUUUUCAUGUUCAUGAUAUAAAAAUGAGCUAGCAAUAGUUGUAUGUGCCUUUUUUUACUUUAUUCUUUGAUUAUUUUGNNNNNNNNNNNNNNNNNNNNNNNNNNNNNNNNNNNNNNNNNNNNNNNNNNNNNNNNNNNNNNNNNNNNNNNNNNNNNNNNNNNNNNNNNNNNNNNNNNNNNNNNNNNNNNNNNNNNNNNNNNNNNNNNNNNNNNNNNNNNNNNNNNNNNNNNNNNNNNNNNNNNNNNNNNNNNNNNNNNNNNNNNNNNNNNNNNNNNNNNNNNNNNNNNNNNNNNNNNNNNNNNNNNNNNNNNNNNNNNNNNNNNNNNNNNNNNNNNNNNNNNNNNNNNNNNNNNNNNNNNNNNNNNNNNNNNNNNNNNNNNNNNNNNNNNNNNNNNNNNNNNNNNNNNNNNNNNNNNNNNNNNNNNNNNNNNNNNNNNNNNNNNNNNNNNNNNNNNNNNNNNNNNNNNNNNNNNNNNNNNNNNNNNNNNNNNNNNNNNNNNNNNNNNNNNNNNNNNNNNNNNNNNNNNNNNNNNNNNNNNNNNNNNNNNNNNNNNNNNNNNNNNNNNNNNNNNNNNNNNNNNNNNNNNNNNNNNNNNNNNNNNNNNNNNNNNNNNNNNNNNNNNNNNNNNNNNNNNNNNNNNNNNNNNNNNNNNNNNNNNNNNNNNNNNNNNNNNNNNNNNNNNNNNNNNNNNNNNNNNNNNNNNNNNNNNNNNNNNNNNNNNNNNNNNNNNNNNNNNNNNNNNNNNNNNNNNNNNNNNNNNNNNNNNNNNNNNNNNNNNNNNNNNNNNNNNAAGAUGUUUAUUCUUCUUUGUUCGCAUGUUGUCUUUUCAAAAUGAUAAGAAAGUUCGAAUUUUUGCGGCUAAACAAAAUUAUUUGGAUAUUUUUGACUCAUGCAUAGUAUGAUUGUGAAACUUUUGCUUUGCAUUUUUUAUUUGUUGACUCUCAUUCUUGUGCAAGUGUGCUUAUUCUUGUCAUUCAAAAAUUGGUUCUUGAUAGUUUCUUUUACUUUGAAAUAUGUCACUUUUAUGCCUUGAACAUAUAUUAAUUUCUUUAUCUUUUCUUUGCAUGCAAAAAAAUAUCUCGAGGUCAAAUGGACUCCUCUCCUCUUGCAUUUCAUAAUGGGUAAAUGAGGCUCACCCCUUCAAGUCAAGUUCGAAGUUUAAACUCAAGGUCCACUACAUGGCGUGCGGGUGCUAGAAGAUAGAUGAAGAAGGAAAAUGGGUCAAAACCUAUUGAUGAGGUCACUAAGAGACUUGAGAAGUCUCAAUUUUUAUUAUUGUCUUCUUUCUAUUUAUUCAUUUAGUCAUUUAUUUAUUCAUUCAUUCAUUUCGGCCUCGAAUCCAAAGUAGUAUUUAAUACAGGUGGAGCAAGACUCGAGCCAAAGGCUCUAAAAAUAGUUUAGGACAGGUGAAAUGGGUCGGAAGCCUAACUAGACUAGGACAGGUGUUACUGAUUUGGGUCCAAUGGCCUAAAUCCUUUACUUUCUCCUCCCUUCCCCUUUUAUGUGUUUAUUCUUUUAUUAGUUUUGUUUAGACUUAGUUGAAAUCCCUACUAAGUCGCCUAAAUCUAUUUUACACAAGUCUUUUUUUUAAAAAAAAUCAAAUCACUAUUUCAACAAAUUAAUCUUUUCGAAGUUAAUCAAAAGAUGAUUUUCAAACAGUCCAGAUAACUGCAAGUUAGCGGACGUUUUAGGUGUCUAACACCUUCCUAAAACAUUAAUAGGAAUUGCUUAUCUAGAAUUUCUAACUUAAAAUAAUUUUUCUGUUUUGAAUCGUUUGAAGUAACUUUUAUAUAGGUUUCUUAAUUCCUUUUCAAAAUUAAGUGGCGACUCUCUUCAAAAGUCAAAAUUUCUGCAAAACACCAGCAAAUGAAAGAAAUAUGAUCGUUAUUCAAUACAAAGAAAAGGAAGUCUAUCAACCAACAGACUGCUGGAUUCCUGAGAGUAUUCAGAUUUGGAAAAGGAUGCAUCUCAGAGGCAUGGUAAAGUGGAAAUUCAUUGUUCGAGUCAAAACUCAUUUCCCUCUAUCUGGAUCUGGGUCAAUGAUGUGACAAGACAAGGACAAGUUUCAGUGAUCUGAAAUAAAGGUGAAAGGAACAACGGUUGGAGCAGAUGCCUGGGAAGCCAAGUGCUGCAAGCCACCACUAAUUUUUUAACUGACAAAUUUUCUUUGUUGAAAUAGGGGCAAAUUCACUUCACUUAAUUUAGUUACCAUUAGAAAAACACAUCCAUGAGGACUUUACUUUCUGUUCAGGACCCUUCUGAAAAAUAGGAUUUUAUUUUCUGCUAAGGACCCUCCUGAGAAAUGGGACUUUACUUUCUGUUCAGGACCUCAUGAAAAAUGAGAUUUACUUUUUGUUCAGGACCCUUUUGAAAAAUAGGACUUUACUUUCUGUUCAGACCCCUCCUGAAAAAUGGGACCUUAUUUUCUGUUCAGGACCCUCCUGAAAAAUGGGAUUUUACUUUCUGUUUAGGACCCUCCUAAAAAAUGAGAAUUUACUUGGGAUUUAAUUUUUGUUCAGGACCCUCCAGAAAAAUGGGACUUUACUUUCUGUUCAGGCCCCUCCUGAAAAAUGGGACUUUACUUUCUGUUUAGGACCCUCCUGAAAAAUGGGACUAUACUUUCUGUUCAGGACCCUCCUAAAAAAUGAGAUUUUACUUUCUGUUCAGGACCCUCUUAAAAAUGGGAUUUUACUUUCUGUUCAGGACUCUCCUGAAAAAUGAGAUUUUACUUUCUGUUCAGGCCUCUCCUGAAAAAUGGGAUUUUACUUUUUGUUCAGGACCCUUCUGAAAAAUUGGAUUUUGGUUUCUGUUCAGGAACCUCCUGAAAAAUGGGACUUUGCUUCAAGUUCAGGACCCUCUUGGAAAAUGGGAUUUUACUUUCUAUUCAGGCCCUUUCUGAAAAAUAGGGUUUUACUUUCAUGCUUAGGACCCUCUUGAAAAAUGGGACUUUACUUUCAUGUUCAGGACCCUCCUAAAAAAUGGGAUUUUACUUUAUGUUCAGGACCCUCCUGAAAAAUGAGGUUUUACUUUCAUGUUUAGGACCCUCCUGAAAAAUGGGACUUUACUUUCAUGUUCAGGACCCUCCUGAAAAAUGGUAUUUUACAUUAUGUUCAGGACCCUCCUAAAAAAUUGGAUUUUAUUUUUUGUUCAGGAAUCUCCUGAAAAUGGGAUUUUACUUUAUGUUCAGGACCCUCCUGAAAAAUGAGAUUUUAUUUUCUAUUUAGGACCCUCCUGAAAAAUGGAAUUUUAUUUUCUGUUCAAGACUCUCCUGAAAAAUGAAAUUUUAUUUUUUGUUCAGGACCCUCCUGAAAAAUGAGAUUUUACUUUCUGUUCAGGACCCUCCUGAAAAAUGAGAUUUUACUUUCUGUUCAGGACCCUCCUGAAAAAUGAGAUUUUAUUUUCUGUUCAGGACCCUCCAAAAAAUGGGAUUUUACUUUCUGUUUAGGACCCUCUUAAAAAAUGAGAUUUUAUUUUCUGUUUAGGACCCUCCUAGAAAAUGGGACUUUACUUUCAUGUUCAGGACCCUCUUGAAAAAUGGGACUUUACCUUCUGUUCAGGACCCUCGUGGAAAAUGGGACCACACUUUCAAAAAUGAAAAAUUGCUUUACUAUAAUCUUUGUUUGGGAUAAUUUUUGUUCUAGUUUUAAUUCUGGUUUCAAGAGCCCACCUGAAGAACAGGGUAAUGAAAUUACAAGUUAGGAACCAGUCAGAGGAACAGGAUGAAGAAGCUGAAAGUCAAGCAAUAAGGUGAAGAAAUUAAAAGUUAAAAAUAGCAAGUCAGGAGUCCACCUGGAGAACAGGGUGAAACAAUUGAAAGUUAAGCAAUAAGGUGAAGCAAUUGAAAGCCAAACAACAAGUUGAGGAAAUUGCAAUUCAGGAACCCCCCUGAAAAAUAGGUUGAUAAAACUAGAAUCAAGAGUCAAGGAAUGCUGCAUAGAUAGGAUUUUGUAAUUUCAUUUAUGUUUUAAAUUGUAAUUUUCAUUCUUUGAUGUAAUGAUAGCGCCGCGGACCGGAACCUCGAUGGAACCUCACUCGACUCUCCAACUCGGUAAGUCUACCUCCUUCCGAUCUUUUAAGAUACCCAUCACUAGAUUCCCUCAUAAAUUGGGUAAGUAGGGUGUCCUAAGUCAAGACACGGUUGCCUUUCUUUCUUCUAUUUCUUUCUUCAAAUAAUGAUUGGGACAAAAUUCUAUCUCGUUGUCUACUUCUUUGUAUGAAAACACUUGGUGUUUACAUUCAAAGGGGCAUGAUGUAGACACGCAAUUUUGUCCCGUCAAUAAUAUUUCUUAUUCCGAUAUCACACAAUUUAACCCCAUUUAUAAUUUUUCCCAAGAAAAUAAAUAACCACCUUAUCUUUUACUUAUUUAUGUAUUUAUUUUUUGUUUUGUCUUAUCCAAAUAACAAGUGAUAACAAACUUUGUCUCAUUCUAAUAUUCAAACAACCCACCCAAUAAAAAAUUGACACUUAACCUCUACCCUUCCAAUUAAAAAGCAACACCUCACCUCUCACCUAACCACCCUUACCCCUAUCCCACGUGGCCCCUCUUUUUCUUAGCCAUAAAGAAAAUAUACAUAAAGGGGAACUUCUAGAAAAUUUCCCUGGACUAAGACUCAUACCCCCACAAGCAUAUUCCCUCAACAAGAAUACUCACUGUCACUCUCAAGGAAAGGAACCUACUGGAGUUCUCACCAAAGCAAUAUAUACAAUGAUAUAUACACUCACAGGGGAUGGGUAAGGGGGGACAUACCCACAACUCUAUUUUCCUCCAUUUUUUCUUUAUUUAAGCACACACAACGUACAUAGCCACUGGAAACAUGCACAGAUCAGAGAGGAAAGAGAUCGAUGGUGAUCAAAAUUUAGAGAAAAAUAGACUAGGAAGAGAGAGCAUGCAACACCAGUGAGAUAAAAUCGAUCGAAAAAGGGAAAAAACUCCAGCGAGUGAAUAAAAAUCACGGAGGUUGAUGAAAAUCAGGCCAGUGUAGAUUUUUUCCAGCUAAUCUCUCGCCGGAAUACACUUCUCAUCGCCGAAAUCGCACGAUUCAAUUCGAUUCUAUGAAUUUUUACAUACGGGUUUGGGUAUUUGUCAUGAUUUUAUUUCGGACACUUCGGUUUGCUCAUACUGGUUUGGGUUUAGGAUUCCAUUUGUCUUAAUUGGUUCAUCCCGUCAUUUAGUGGUCCAACUGUUUCUAUUUUCUUCUUGGUUUAUAUCUGCCCACUGCUAUUUCUCAAUAUCGGGUUGAUUUCGUUCGAGUUGAGGCGGGUUAGUCGAUCGAGGUUUUCGGGUCCGAUUCUAUCACCCAAUUGCAUAAUUUACACAAUAAAGCUCGAUUUGAGGUCCAAUUAUAUCUCGUUCUUAUUUUGAUUUCAUUAUAUACACGUGAUUGGUUUGUGUGAAGCAUGAUAUAAAUACUUAGGUGAUAUCGAUUUAUUUGUUUGGUUUUGUUGAUAACGAUUGUGGAUUGUUAAAGUAGUGAUCAUGAAUUGUUGGAAUUUUGAGAAUUAAUUUAGGGGUGAGAAUUGAAAACUUGAUAUAAUUGGUGAAUUUUAGUUAAUUUGAUUCAUUGGUUGUUUGACUUGAAAUGAACGUUAAUUGAACUUGGUAGUAUGAUGAUACGUCGAUUGGUGUAGGCAAACAUAGGAUGGGUAGGCAAAGUUUAGAAUUUGUGGCUUUGGUUGAAUAUUGGAAAUUCCGUGGAAUGUUUGAAAUUUUGUUGAAUAGUUUGAUUUUCUCACACUAAAAAUGUAUUGAUUUAGACGGGGAAUGGCUCGACGAAUUUGUAUUAAUUUAUCGGGGGAAUGCCCCGAAGUAUCAUGUACUUGGAGGACGUUCGUGAUGAAGGCCCGAGGAGUUGGGUAGUGCAUAGUUUAGGAUUAGUUUAGAAUAGAAUAGGUUUUACAUUUUCGUAUAUUUUUAUUUUUGGACUAUAUAAUCGGACUGGACUUUAUAUUUUUAGGAUUUCUUUUGUUGGUGUUUGUUUGUUUAAGUGUUGUAUGUUUUAUGUGGUUUAUACACUUUUAGUGUCGAAUUAGCCGAUAUGCUCCACUAAGCGACCGUGGUCAAACCACGGGAUCGAGGGGUGCCUAACACCUUUCCCUCGGUCAACAGAAUUUCUUAGCCGAAAUCUAUGUUCGCAAACCAGUUUAAAGAGUCAAAUCAUUUUGAAAAGGAUUUUCCAAAAGUGACUUGGCACACCCGAUUAUGCCAAGUGGUGACUCUGAGUUUUGAAUAUAAAUAAUCCUUUUUCGAAAUAAAUUUUUCAUCUUUUGUCACUUUAAUAAUAAAAACCCUUUCGGCCCUUAAAAUUAAUCUGUUUUGGAGUUAAAAAAGGGGUUUGACACACUCCAUUAGAGAUUAAGGCUAAGAGGAGAAGGAGAGUGAUUUUCAAUGCAUUAUCAAGCAUCUAAAAAGAAAAAUUGCAACUCCUCUAUCCGUGUGUUGCAUUGAGAAAUGUACAAUGUCCAAAAAGAAGCAGCACGAGCUGAAGAAGGUGAAUAUAUAUGUCUGUUUCAACUAAGAAACAGACACAUAUCUGUUUCAACAGAUGACACAUCUGUUGAAAAUUAUCAAACAGAUAUAUAUAUAUCUGUUGCAACAGUUGACUAACUUGUUGCACUAGAUAAAGUAUCUAUUGUGACAUAUGUCUCAUCUAUUUUAGCAAAUCAAACAGCUCUUCACACCUUUAUUAUUUGUACCAACAGAUGACCUAUCUGCUGCAACAAAUGAGUCAUAUGUUGCAACAGAUGGUUCAUCCAUUGAAAAUUAUCAUACAAGUCUUUCUCAUGUAGAAAUUUGUCCCAACAGUUGAUUCAUUGUUCCAACAGAAAUAUAAUCUAUUUGGGAUAAUUUAAAACAGGAGAAAGACCUGUUUGAUUUUCUAGAACAGAUGAGUUAUCCUUUUUCAUUUUGUUAUAUCUCCGUAAUUAACAUUGACCAAUUCUGGCUUUCCAGGUGGAUGUAGAAGCUACUACUGAACAAUAUUGAUAAUAUGCUACUCUUUUUAUGGAAAUACGGAGAACAAAAAAUGCAGAAGCCGUACAUAAGUGAUAAUAAAGAUCCAUGAUGACCGAAUCCGAAUUUCAUAGCACCUGGUGAAGAACAACUUGUCCAUAUUGAGUAGAUCUUUAUAGCUUGAGUCUAUCAAAGUAAUAACCUGGCCUCUCCUUUGGAAUCCUUGACAUCAAUACUUAAAUUGUUGAUGUAUUUGUUGAGAUCUAUACCCAUAACAAUUUUUUUACAUUUCAUUUAUUCAUUGAUUUAUUUUAUAUAAUUUUUGAAGGCUUCGAUUUAUUUUAUUUUGUCUAUGAAUUUUAUUUUUUCCUUAGAUUCAAACUUAUUAAUUGAAAUGGAAUACUAGAUUCAAAUAUUGCAACAGAUAAUGUAUCUGUUGCAAUAAACGACACAUUUAUUAGAAAAUAUUAAACAAAUUUAGACAUAUGUUGCAACAGGUAGUUAAUCUGUUGAAAUUUAUGGAACGGUUCUUUCCACUAUUGCAAUAGAUAGACUUAGAUAGAAACAUCGACAUAAUGCAACAAAUGACCAACCUAUUGCAACAGAUAAAUUAUAUGUUAGAACAGAUAGAAUAUCUGUUACUACGGAUGGAGAAUCUGUUGCAUUAUAAAAAUUCAACUUUCAUUGGACAUAAAUAAUUGCCACUACAUGUAAAAAAGUGAAAGUGAAUUGAAAUAAAAAGGCGGAACCCAUCGACUGUGUUCAGCUCAAAACACCUACAAUAAAAUAGGCAUCAAGUAGACAUUGUUCAUUUUAAAUACGUAAAAUAAAUCAGGCAUCAAAUGUGUUAGUUUGGCACUUUUUGCCCUGUUGGUUGCUUGCAUAUAAUUCACAUAGUCAAGGCUAAUUGAACCCCCAUUUUUACUGACUUGGCAUCUGAUUUGACCCCUAACGGUCAUAUUUUUCCCCAUUGUCUUAUAUAUUCAUUUUCUUCCUAAAAUUUAACUCUAAAUUCCCAAAUCUUGUUAUUCAUCAUCAUCUUUUUUAUAUAUCUAAAUUCUUUAAAUUAUUUUCAUUUAGUUUUUCUUUUCUUCAUCUUUUUUUUUCCAACCGAGCUUGACAAUGUCGAGCGCAUCUUCCACUAUCUUUUGUGAUAAAAAUUUUUGAUAUUAUAAGUGUGGUCAUGAAGCUCUAUUGAAGACUUCUUGGACUCAAUAAAUUCAGGUCGUAUAUUUUAUACUUAUAAGACUUCAAAGAUAUAUUGUUUUAUUUAAUUAGCUGAUUAAUUAUUGACUUGUAAUUAUUUUGUAAUUGUGUUCUUGUUUUUAUAGAAAUUGGGUACUUUCAUUGGUACGAAGACCGACACUCUUCACAAGAAAAUCGUGUAAUUUGGGGUUUGUUGAACAAAUUCAAGGCUUCUGAAGAGAAACAAAAUCGACCAAGAAGACGCUACAUUGUUGUUGUUAUUGCUAUUGGUUUGGUGAUGUUAGGCACAUGGAUAUUCAAGCCUAAUUGCUGAAAUUUUCAUGGUGGUGUAUUUGCUAUUGGUUUGGUGUUGUUGAGCACAUGGAUAUUCAAGCAUAAUUGUUGGAAAAUAUCAAACAGAUUUAGGCAUAUAUUGUAAAAUUUAGGUCAUUUGUUGAAAAUUAUCAAACAGGUCUUCCCACUAUUGUAACAAAUUAGAUAGAAAUAACAUCGGCAUAAUGCAACAGAUGACCAACCUAUUGCAACAGAUAAAAUAUCUGCCAGAACAGAUAAAAUAUAUUUUACAAUAGAUUGACAAUCUAUUGCAUUAUAAAAAACUCAACUUUCAUCAGAAAAAAUUAUUGCCACUACAUGUACAUGUAAUUUAAAGUAAAAUGAAGUGUGACUUUAAAUAAAAAAAUUGUUAUUUCAUAGGAUCUUCUAUAUACACAGGUUUCAAGCGUCCAGUUAGUACCCCAUAAGCCUAGACCUCUUGCAAGUUUGCCACAACGUUGUUGCAUAGAAAGGUCAUUGGCUCGACCAUUUUUGUGUCGUUCAGUAAACAUUUGAUGUAUGCAUGAUCGUGCGAGCCGCACGCAUAAUUGGUAUCAUUUUUUAGAAGGUUCAUGCCCUUGUUCGACCUUCAAAAUCCCAUGUUACAUAGGGUUCUCCGAAUCAAUAAUCCAACGCAACUUAUGCAACAGAUGGAUAAUAAGUUAUAAUAGAACCACUACCAGUUGCACCAGAAUACCCAUCUGUUGCAACAGAUUUCAUAUCUGUUGAGUAGCUUCUUCUUCAUGGAGUAGAUUAGAAGGCUAGGUUAGGAAAAGUAAAAUUUUCUUGUCCUCAUACCACAUACGCAUAUCUAUCAUAAUCUGGAAGUCUUGGGGAGGAAAGGGAGGCCUGGGGUAAUCUGGUGCGCCUGGCUUCACAUUCUUGGCCUAUCAUAGAUCCCUCUUCUCUUUGGUGCCAAGUUUCACAUAUAUGUCCACCUUCUUAAAUGUCUCCUAAACUUCAGCAGCUUUUGGAGAGGGAGGAGUUGCAAUUUUUUUUUAUUUCUGACCGGAGAGUAGGUUACUAAUUACUCUUUUCUUCCUCCUAACUGCCAUUUUAGGAGUGUAUGGCUCCCUCAUCUUAUUGGAUGGUAUGACACCCCUCUUGAAUUUGAAUUUCUCGAUAGCUUUAGAGAUAGCCUCUACUUUUUUAAAGAGUUUAUCCUGCCUGUCCUUGGACUCUUCGCAUUUACAACGAGAAUACGAGGGUGAAGAGGGGUGAGAGGGAUCUGUGUAAGGGUGAAAAGGGGUGUUUUCAAAUAUAUGUAUUUUUUCUUGAACAUCAAUAUGCUCAUCAUCACGAGUGGUAGCAGAAUCAAUAUGCUUGCCACCAACACCAACAACUUCAACAGAAAAAGUACCCGAAUUUGCCUUAGUAGGUUGGUCAUGAAGAUCCUCAACAUUAGGCUAACCUUACCUAACUGCUCUUCUUAUGGCUGUUGCUCCAGCCAAUUCCUUCUUUAUUAACUCCACCGUUCGGUCUUCUAUAGUAUCAAUAUAACCUAGAGUAAUAUAAGAAGUCAUCACCGACUCUCGCUCAGUAGGCAUGAUCCAUGGAUUCACAACCUAUAAAAAAAUAUAGAUACAUUUAAAUCAUAUAAUAUAAUAAUUUUCACCAUUGGGUUAUACACAGUGAACUUUUGCAAUAGAUUAACAAUAUGUUGCAUCAGAUUACCCAUUGUUGCAUAGUUUGCAGUAGAUGGUUGAAAUUUAUUUGAGUCGGGUUUAGAGAACCAUAGCAACACAUGGAUAAUCUGAUGCAAAAUAUCAAUCAUCUGUCGUAACAGAUUACCAAUCUGUUGCACCAGUUGCACAAAAUAGGUAAUCUUUUUGGUUACAUAUUAUGCAACAGAUGAUUUGUAUGUCACAAUAGAUUAAAAAUAUGUUACAUUAGAUUAUACAUCUGUUACAUAAUUUGCAGUAGAUGGUUAAUCUGUUAGGAGUUGGGUUCAGAGAACCAAAGCAACAAAUGGGUAAUCUGAUGCAAGAUAUCAAUCAUCUGUCGCAAUAGAUUAUUCAUCUGUUGCACUGAUUGGCACAGGAUGGGUAAUCUAUCACAAUAGAUGUCCCAUCUGGUGCAUUAGCUAUAACAUCUGUUUAGUAUCUUUCAUUGAGUAAAAUUAUUUUACUUGAAGAAAAUGUACUGCAUCAUCCAAAGGGUUAAAGAGAUCAGCCUCCUUAAUUUUGGUGUUGUUCUUUGCAGCCAACCAACUAAAUAUCCUUGGAUGAGAAACCUCAUUUGGGUAAUCCAUUACCUGCUUUUGGAAGGGAGGAAUGACUUCAAAUGACUAAUCCUAAAAAAUGUAAAGAGGAAGCAAGCAAAAAAAAAUCAUAAUAACUAUAUUCAAUAUAAAUUAAUGGAUGAGUAAAAAUAGUGAUUAAUUUUACCAUGAAAGCCCAAGGAAAGCCGUAUAAUAUGGUUGUCCCUGAAGAUAGCUUUGUCAGUAAAUAUUGGAAAGUCAAAUAGAAGCUGUCAUAUCCCCAGGGAUAAUUGUUAAAUUUAUCCAAAUCCUCAGAACACGCCAAUAAAUCAUCUUCUAUGACCUUGUUGACGUCUCUUGCCAAUAUAACCGAAUGGGCAAACCAAACUAAACACAAUUGCUCCCUGUACUACUUUGGUAUGGUUUUAUCCAUGAGAUCUGUCAAUAAAUCCGAUUCUUUGUAGCCACGUCGAGUAAUGUCAAACAACCCAUUUAUUUUUUCCUUGAGUUUUCUUGCCUUGGAUCUUUUACAGGGUGUUCCCUUAGCGAUAGGUGGUUCUUCUGGAUGAUGGCAUCUCAAGCUCGUCACUAUGGAAAACUCUUACAAGCCAAAACAAAUCGGUAUGCCACAGUAGUUGAUCCAGAUUUCAUCCAUCUUUUUUUUGCCCUCUUAUCCAAAUAUUUAUCAUCCCCCACGUACUUGAUCCUGUGCUUGAGAAGACUAUAUACCAUCCUCAUAUGAAAACAGGCAGGGGGUCCUCAAGCAGUCAAGAAAGCAUCUAAAGCAACUCUUCUUCAAAAGUCCGUCUAUGUUUUCGUUCUUUAUAAUUUCCUAAAAUAAAUAAAAUUUCUCCCCAUCUGACAUUUAAGUACAAGUUCACCAGUUAGUUCUUCUUCUAUUUUUGGGUCAUUUAUCGGUAUCGCAACUUGAAACCUGUCAAUACUAAAAGUUUUGACAGGAUCAUGCUGGGAUGUCGAUAUUAAUUCACACCUCAUUGGUGAUCCAUUAUCAUCAUGUUGAUGAUCAUCCUCUUUCUCUUUAUCACACUCUAAUUCCUCCUCUUUCUCAUUUUUAUUUUCUUCAUCACCAUCUAUAGACCCUUGUCCACCUCCUUUAAUGUUGUUUUUAUAUCUCUCCCCGACUUUACUUUUCCCUACCUGAGAUUAUUCAGGAAGCUCCUCUGAAUCCCUCUGUACUGUAGCCUUUUUUUGGGUGGUCAGACGUUGAUCCACUUUCACUUUCUUUCUUUUGGGAGACAAGUUUUACCCACAAACAAUAGAAAAAAAUACAUUACAAUUGAUGUAUUCAUAAAUUUUAAAAAAUACAUUACCAACACCACCAAUACUGACGCACCAACAGCCACUACCACCACAAACACCACCAACUAAUACCACAAACACCAUGAAUACCGACACCACUGAUAGCCACCACAAACACCACCAUCCAAUGCCACCACAAACUCUACCAACUAAUGCCACCAACAGCCACCACCAGUGCAACCAUAACGACCAGCACAACCACCACCGCCACCACCAACACCAAAAAUACCAUCCAACAAUACCACGAUAGUCAACAGAACACUGCGAUAGAGACUAGGGUUUUCUUGAGUUCUUCCUAUAAUUUUACCAUCAAAACUCAAAAUUGUAAACCCAUUCUCAAAGAUAAUAUAACUAAAAAUUUUAUUUUUCAUUAUUAACUUAAAAGCUCUUAUGUUUUAGGAAAAAAUAACAAAUAUAGAACUCUUCUCAAACUCUGUUACCUAUGAAGACAGAGAAAAAAACUGAUACAAGCAAGAAUAAAGUUGAAAAUAACACCUAUGUGGUCGAAAAUGAAAAGAAAAUCAAUCUGUUGUGAAGGGUAGAGUAAUUUGUUGAGUAGUUGUUGUCUGUACUGUAUAAUUAAGUGAGAAAGAGAAAAGAGUGAGAACUAAAGAUUUGAAAUAAUGAAACAUUUUUCUCGUUAAUGGAUGAUUUGUUUGGGUUGAUUUUUAUUUUGGAAAAGAAUGACAAAGUUUUGAAAAUGUUAAUUUGGUCCGAAUUGAUUUUAAUUAUUUUUUAAAAUUAUAAAAGAUAUGCAUAAUUUUUAACUCUCUCAUCAUGCAAUUGCCAAAAGACUCAAUUGAAGUUGUAGUUGACCCUAUAAACUCACCCCUGGUCCUAGAUUAAUCAAUUUAGGUAUUAGACUCUAACAUAUGAACUUAAUUAAACUUGUAUAAAAAUGAAUGUUCAACCUGUUGCAUCAGAUAAUGCAUCUGUUGUAAAUUAUCAAUCAACUUAAGUUUGUUGCAACAAAUUAUGCAUCUGUUAUAAAUAAUCAAACAGAUUAAGUAAUCUAUUGUGACAGAUUACCCAUCUAUUGUAAAUUAUAAAAUGGAUUGUCAUAUGUCGCAACAGAUUACCUAUCUGUUGUAAAUUAUCAAAUAGGCGUUGCCAUCUAUUGUAGUUGACCCUAUGAGAACUCACCCCUAGUCCUAGAUUAAUCAAUUAAGGAAUUGGUUGAACAUAUAAGGUAGUAAGAAUUGGUUCAGCUUAGAGUGAUUGAUCGAUGACUAUAGUCGGGAGGAACAUAAUACUGUCUCAUUAUGCAAUUGCCAAAAGACUCAAUUGAAGUUAUAGUUGACCCUAUGAGAACUCACCCAAGGCCCUAGAUUAAUCAAUUAAGGUAUUAGUCUAACAUAUGAAAUCAAUUGAAACUAUAUAAAAACAAAUAUUUAAUCUGUUACAACAGAUGUCUUUUCUGUUGGAUUUAAUCAAACAAAUUAAGUCAUUUAUUGCAAUAGAUUAUGCAUGUGUUAUAAAUUAUCAAACAGAUUAAGUCAUCUAUUGCGAUAGAUUACCCAUUUGUUGUAAAUUAUCAAAUGGAUUAAUUCAUAUGUCACAACAGAUUACCCAUCUAUUGUAAAUUAUUAAAUAGGCGCUGCCAUCUAUUGUAGUUGAACCUAUGAGAACUCACCCCUGGUCCUAGAUUAAACAAUUAAGGUAUUAGUCUAACAUAUGAGGUAGUAAGAAUUGGUUUAACUCAGAGUGAUCGAUUGGCGACUCUGAUCGAGUGAAACGCAAUACUGUCUCAUCAUGCAAUUUCUAAAAAACUCAAUUGAAGUUGUAGUUGACCCUAUGAGAACUCACCCCUGGUCCUAGAUUAAUCAAUUAAGGUAUUAGUUGAAUAUAUGAGGUAGUAAGAAUCGGUUCAGCUCAGAGUGAUCGAUCGACGACUCAGGUUGGGCGGAAUGUAAUACCAUCUCAUUAUGCAAUUGCUAAAAGACUUAAUUAAAGUUGUAGUUGACCCUAUGAGAACUCACCCCUGGUCCUAGAUUGAUCAAUUAAGGUAUUAGUUUAACAUAUGAACUCAAUUGAAAUUGUAUAAAAAUAAAUAUUCAAUUUAUUGCAACAGAUGUCUUUUUUGUUAGAUUUAAUCAAACAGAUUAAGUUAUUUGUUGUAAUAGAUUACACAUAUAUUGUAAAUUAUCAAAUAUAUUAAGUCAUCUAUUACGAAAGAUUACCCAUCUGUUGUAAAUUAUCAAAUGGAUUAAGUCAUAUAUCACAACAGAUUACCCAUCUGUUGUAAAUUAUCAAAUAGAUAAUGCCAUCUAGUGUAGUUUACCCUAUGAGAACUAUCUCCUGGUCCUAAAUUAAUCAAUUAAGGUAUUAGUCUAACAUAUGAGGUAGUAAGAAUUGGUUCAACUUAGAGUGAUCGAUCGUCAACUCUGGUCGGGAGGAAUGCAAUACUGUCUCAUCAUGUAAUUUCCAAAAGACUCAAUUAAAGUAGUAGUUGACCCUAUAAGAACUCACCCCUGGACCUAGAUUAAUCAAUUAAGGAAUUAUUCUAACAUAUGAGGUAGUAAGAAUUGGUUCAGCUCAGAGUGAUCGAUUGAUAACUAUGUUCGAGAGAAAUGCAAUACCGUCUCAUCAUGCAAUUGCCAAAAGAUUCAAUUAAAGUUGUUGUUGACCCUAUGAGAACUCACCCCUAGUCCUAGAUUAAUCAAUUAAGGUAUUAGUCUAACAUAUGAACUCAAUUGAAAUUUUAUAAAAAUAAAUGUUCAACCUGUUACAACAGAUUAACCAUCUGUUGUAAAUUAUCAUAUAGAUUAAGUCAUUUGUUGCAACAGAUUAAGCAUCUGUUGUAAAUAAUCAAACAGAUUAAGUCAUCUAUUGCAACAGAUUACUCAUCUAUUGUAUAUUAUCAAAUGGAUUGUUAUAUGUCGCAACAGAUUACCCAUCUAUUGUAAAUUAUCAAAUAGGUAUUGUUAUCUGUUCUAAUUGACCCUAUGAGAACUCACCCCUGGUCCUAGAUUAAUUAAUUAAGGUAUUAGUUGAACAUAUGAGGUAUUAAGAAUUAGUUCAGCUCAGAGUGAUCGAUUGAUGACUCUGAUCGGGAGGAACGCAAUACUGUCUCAUCAUAUAAUUGCCAAAAAACUUAAUUAAAGUUGUAGUUGGCCCUAUGAGAACUCACCCGUGGUCCUAGAUUAAUCAAUUAAUGUAUUAGUCUAACAUAUGAAAUCAAUUCAAAUUAUAUAAAAACAAAUGUUAAAUCUGUUGCAACAGAUGUCUUUUCUGUUGGAUUUAAUCAAAUAAAUUAAGUAAUCUGUUGUAACAUAUCACGCAUCUAUUGUAAAUUAUCAAACAGAUUAGGUCACCUCUUUGGAAAAAUUCAAACAGAAAUUUUCAUAUGUUGCACUUAGAUGUUUUAAGACCCCUUUUUAAAGCAAUUUAGGUAUUUUCUGUCUAAUAUCAAAAAGGCGAUAAAAAUAUUACUUGGAUAACUUAAAAAUAUCCUGAGUGAGUAGUCUUAUCUGGUCUUUUCAUUGUCACCGUCUCUUCGUGCCCCUUAAAAGUUAUUAAUGAAUAUUUAAAACCCAUAUCUAGAAGAAUACUCUCUCCUUUAGCCGUAGAGUAGGACUCAACUCAUCUAUCACUUUUCUUUAUUCUCAAUUCUCUUUCUUUUCUUUUUUCCUCUCUUUUCUCUCUUCUUUCAGAUGAGGAUCCUUUUGGGUCUCAAUCGAUCUAUAUCUUUUCUCGACUGAACUGGAUGUUCUGAUCCCUUCAUUUUUUUUACAUUGCAGGUAUGGUUCACUAUUGCUCUUUCCAUCUCGUUUCCUUCUUUGUAUGCUAUUUAAAUUAGAUAUUUACAUAUGUUGCUAUUAAUGAUUUACCCAUUACCAGUUUCCUAUUUAUUGAGAAAAUUGAAGGAAAGGUGACUUUUAAGUCUUGAACGAACAAACCAUUGUUUUUAUUAAAAUAUAGAGAAAAAGUCAUCUGUUGGGAGAAGUUAAAAAGACUUGUUGUCAGUAUAGUUUGAUGAAUCAGUUGUUAAAACAGACGGAGCAACUAUUUAAAGAAAUCAAACCAGUAGCAAGUUUGGUUUAAUUUAUUCCAACAGAUGAACCAUCUGUUGCAACAUAUCAUUCAUAUUUUGCAAUAAUGCCUCAUCGAUUGAACAGAUGGGUAAUCUGUUGCAUCAGAUUGGUCAUCUAUUGAUUCACUUAAUUUUGUGUUACCCUUUUGUACAGAUGGAGCAACUGUUUGAAAAAAAUCAAACCAGUAGCAAGGCUGGUUUGAUUUAUUCCAUUAGAUGAACCAUCUGUUGCACCAUGUCAUCCAUCGGUUGUAAUAAAUACCUCAUUGGUUGAACAGAUGGGUAAUUUGUUGCAUCAGAUUGGUCAUCUGUUGAUUCACUCAAUUUUGUGUUAAUCUUUUGUAAUGUUCUUUUUGUUCUUCUAUUAUUUGACAUCAAAUUUAUUUCUCUUGUUUGUAGAUAAAAGAAAGUGAAACUGGAUCCACUUUUGCCUGACCAGCAUUAAAGGCUAGAGUAAAGAUGGGUUUGGAGGAAUAAACUGCUUGUAGAUGGAACCACUUUAUAUGUAGGAGGUAUGUAUUACUGAUCAACCUAUCAUGAAAACACACACCCAGUAUAAUGAUUUUAUAAAUGUUUGUUCUUUACCUAUUAGGCAUUAAUCCUUCAAACAAGAUAUGGCAUUUUACAGUUAAGAGUGUUAGGUUCGAACUGGGAAGGCUGAGGGACCAAGAAGGUGGUGUCGAUACCCUAUUACAAUUUAAUGACCAUUUAUGCUCAUGUUUUUGUGUCAAGUUUGAGGAAGGGUAAGUUUUUGGCGGCAGUGUAAAUAUCCAAUAGUGAUUGGACCAGUUUUAAUGGCUCAAUGGACUUCUUGAAAGGCCUCCGAAGUCUCGCACUACAGAAAACAAUGAUGGAACUAAUAGAAAUUCCCCUGGUCUAAAUUUAUAUGGAUGGGUUGCUGGAGGAGACUAUUAUACAGAAGUAGGUACUUGGUAGAAUACUUGUACGGAAAGGGGGAGGUUGAGAAAGCCAUAUAUCAUUCCAGACCUUGUUUAAGAGAAAACACAGGGUAGGAAGGAAAGUGUAGGAAAAUUGGCUAAUGAAAUUGACAUGAAAAAUGAAAAAACUGGAUGAGCUACGAAUGUGAAAGUGUAUCCAAAAAUGAAAAUCCAUCCGUCGUCGAAGAAAAAGAAGAAUGGUCAAGAGGACUGGAGCUGGUCACUUUGCUAGAUACUGCAACUAGUGAGCAUGGCCUCAAUGAAGACCCACAAAAUGUAGGACCAGAACUCUAAUGAAGCAGCGUCGCGAGCACGGAAGGUGGUAAUAUUGUUGGUCAAAAUUAAAACCUGAACCAACUACUCUUGAAUUAAAAAUAUGGGAUCAAGCCAAGGUGGCAAUUUCUCAAGUUAAACUUGCAUUCCAUGCCUCUUAUUUAUGGCUCUGGUCAGGUCAAAGGCAGUGGAAACAACAAGGCAUGGGAUUUCUGCCCAACUUUGGACCUUUUUAUUUCUACUUCCAUUAACCUGAUCAUAGCCACAAACAGAAGGCAUGGCAUGCAAGUUAGACUUCAGAAAUUAACACCUUGGCUUGCCUUAUUUUUAAUUCAGGAGUUGUUGGUUCAGGUUUCAUUUCUGACCGACAAUCGUACCAAUUUCCUGUGCUCGCGAAGCUUUUUCCUUAGAGUUCUGGUCCUGCACUUUGUGAGAGUCUUCAUUGAGGCCACGCUCGCUAGCUACAUUCUCAAGCAAAGUGUCCAACUCCAGUCCUAUUGACCAUUCUUCUUUUUCUUCAAUGAUUGACGGAUUUUUAUAUUUGGAUACACUUCCACAUAUGAAGCUCAUCCAGUUUUUUCAUUUCUCAUGUCAAUUUUAUUGGCCAGAUUCGCUUCCUUACUUGCUUUCCUUUGUUUUCUCUUAAAUAAGGUAUGAGAUGAUAUAUGGCCUUCUCCACCUCCCCUUCCCAUACAAGUAUUCUCCCAAGCAUCUUCUGUUGUAUAAAAGUCUCCUCCAUCAAUCCAUCCAUAUAAAUUUAAACCAGGGGAAUUUCUAUUGGUUCCAUCAUUAUUUGCUGCAAUACGAGGCUUCAGAGGAAUUUCAAGAAGUCCAUUGCGCCGUUAAAACCGGUCCAAUCACUAUUGGAUAUCUACACUGCAGCUAAAAACUUAAACCAUUUCCCCAAACCUGACAUAAAAACAUGAGCAUAGACCGUCAUUAAAUUGUAACAAGGUAUUGACACCACCGUCUUAGAAACCUUCAGCCUUAUCAGUUAGCACCUAUCAAACUAAACUGUACAAUGAAGGAUCUUGUUUGAAGGAUCGGUGUCUAAUCGGUAAAAAAUGCAUUCACAAAAUCAUUAAACUUUAUGUGUGUCUUUCACGGUAGUCUGAUCAGUAACACAUAACUCCCACACAUGAAAGUGAAUCCAUUGCACGCACCUUAUUCUUCCUACCCUAUCAAGACAUGUCAGACAGUUUUAUUUAUUCAUUUGUACGUAUGUGAUGACUAUUAAAAAAGAGGUGUAAAGAUUUGUGACUUUUUAUCUUAACAUAUUCAAAACAACCGAUGAAUCAAAAUCUCCAUCUAUUAUAACUGAUGAAUCAACAGUUGGAAGAAAUCAAAAUAUCUAUUUUGACAUAUGGUCCAUCUGUCGUAACAAAUAAUCCAUAUGUUGCAAUAGAUGGUAAAUUUGUUGUGAAAGACCAGACAUUGUUUAUUCAUCUGCACGCAUGUGAUGACUAUUAACAAAGAGGUGAAGAGUACUGAUUUUUUAUCUAACACAUUCAAAAUAGUUGAUGAACCAAAUUUUUCAUCUGCUGCAACUGAUGAAUCAGUUGUUAGAAGAAAUCAAAACAUCUCCUCCAACAUAUGAUCCAUCUGUUGCAACAAAUAAUUUAUAUAUUGCAAUAGAUAUUGCAACAGAUAGUAAAUCUGUUGCGACAGACCAAAAAGUUUUUAUUCAUCUGCACACAUGUUAUGACUAUCAAAAAAGAGGUAGUCGUGACUUGUUAUCUAACACAUUCAAAAUAGCUGAUGAAUCGAAUUCCCCAUCUGUUGCAACGGAUGAAUUAGCUAUUAAAAGAAUAUCAAAACAUUUCCAAAAGAUGGUCCAUCUAUCACAAUAGAUAAUACAUAUAUUGCAGUAGAUGUCUCAUUUAUUUCACAUACAAAACAUCUAUUACAACAGAUGGUAAAUCUAUUUUGACAGAUCAUCUGUUACACAUACAAACAAUUUAUUGUAAUAAAUGAUAAAUCUGUUGUGAUAGAGAGACGAUCUAUUGUAAAAGCUCAAUAAUAAAGGUUGUUAUCAAGUCUUAAAACCAUUUUGAAAAGGUCAGAAGUAUUAAUGUAAAAGAAAAAAUCGUGACUUUUCACAGAAAAUAAAAUACCACCAGUUUGAAUGUAAUUAAUACAAUGGAGCUUAACAGUCGUGCCUUUUGGCCUGACACGUCCAGAUUCAAUCCUCUAUAAAUAGGUCCCUCCAUAAUCUUUAUUCUACUAAACUUUAUUUAUUUCUUAUAUUAUUUCUUUUUGUGUGACAUUUUCAACCACUUCUCUUCAAAAAGCAUAUUCCUUUUUUAUUGAGGUAAGUUUUUUUCCGAAAUAAAUCUACCAGUUGGUAGUAUACGUUGUAUUAUAUUUGAACUCUUUUUAUUUAUAUUUGUCAAUUCAUGGUGUUCUAGAUAUGGCUAAUCCUAUUUGGGACAUUGUUAUUUUGCGUGACACAUUGCAGGAACUUAAAAGGCAGGUUAAUGACCUACAGAGGGAGUUGGUCGCCAUGAGAGCGAUGAUGUUCAGAGAGAUGCAGAGUCUGAUGAGGGCCCUGUUGCUGUGAGUUGAUUGGCCGGUUGUCACUAAUGAUGAUGAUGAUGAUAUUAAUAAUUAGAAUGUGUUUUUUCUUUUAGAAUAUGUAUUUUAUUUUUUCUAUAUCGGAUCUAUACCUAAUGUAUUUUAUUUUUCAUUUAAUGAAAAUUUUAUUUUUAAUUGACUUUGGCUUUUUAAUUCUUAUUCAAUUUCAUUUUGUCUAUUUCUUCUAAACAUACAUGUUAAUGUUAACAUGCCGACGGAUGGAGGUAAGGAGCAAUUUUGAAUCUAAUAGCAAUAGUAAUUUUGGCUUUUGAGUUUUUUCUACAAAUGGACUAUGUGUUGGAACAGAUUGGUCAUCAGUUGGGCUUCUGUCAAUAGAUUAUCCACCUGUUGUGAUAGAUUUAUCAUCUGUUGGAGAAAAACAUUAUAGUUUGAUGGAACUGUGUUGUGUUCUUCCAGCUAAUGUCUAUCUGUUGCCACAGAUGGUUAAUCUGUUGAGAAUAAUUGUGGUCUAUUGUAUUAUUUAGUUCAUGUUUUGCCUCUUUAUAUUGAUGCAUAAGUUAUUAAAAAGAUAUUUUAUACAUGAUAAAUGAUAACAUUACGUUCACAACAAUGGGUUAAAUAUAUAAAAGUCCACAACAAACAACAACACAAGUCCAAUUACAAUGAUCAUGGUGGAUUACGAUUCGGGCAUGUUCUUUUAUGACCAACACGCUUACAUAUGAAGCACUUAUUUCUUCUUGAUGAAAAUGAUUUUUUGACUCCAUGCCUCCUCUUAUAUGGCUUUUAUCCCAGUUUGAUAGUGCUUGGGUCAAUAUAUGGAGGAGGUAUUAAUCUCUCCAAAAUCUCUGCAGGAAUAACCCAAGAUUCUUCGGGAGGCACCGGAGUAAUAUGCCUACUAUAUGCCAUUUCAUAUUCUUCCACCAAAUUAUAUUGAGAGGAAUGAUUGUAAACUUUAGGUUUAUAUUUUGGACCGUAUUGAGCUCAAAGUGUUGCCAUGGCAUGUGGACAGGGUAUUUUGUCCAAGUCAAAAACUCUGUACGUACAAGAUCUUGUUUGAAGAUCGAUCGUGGCAACAUCACCAUGACCGAUGAUACUGAAUUUGUAAUCUACUAUUUUAUGAGAUAAUGACCUAUUCCCCAAACUGAUGUUCGUUGAUAUUAUUUUUUUGAUUUCGAGAACAAAUCGGGUUCUUUUUGGGCCCUUGAACUGUAUAUGCCUUUUGUUAAAAAAUUAGCCAUACUUCUUGUUUAUUACUUCAAACAUAGCCUUGAUAGGAAAUUCUCUUUCAUUGCCAAGCAAUGAAUUCACCGAUUCAGCUAUGUUUGAUGUCAUAAUAUUGUACCUAUACAAAAGAAUCACUUAGUACGACAUCUUACUAAACUUGUAACUCAAACAAGAUAAUAAAUUCAUAAGAAUGUACCUAUCUGCAGGACAGAAUGCCUGGCUCCAUCUCUCAAAAAUGACACGUACGAGAAGUUCUACUACCUUGGGAUUCACAUCUGUUAUUUGAUUGAAAUGGUCUAAAAAUUCCUCUCUACUAUAUGCUUUAGCUGCUCUAUAAAAAAGGGUCACGAUCCUUUUGCUGUGAUAGUUGGUUCGAAUGUUCUCUCCAAGAUGCCUGAUGCAGCAACCAAAAGUAAGCUGAAGUGAAGAAAAUUGAACCCAUCUUUAGAAUACUUGGAUGCCUAUUCGAAAUGAAUCACAACUCUUCGGUAUCUUCGACACAGCUUCGUAGUUGUUCAAAAAGAUCCAUAAAAUGUAUCACAUUCCUUGUCCGCUACAUAAAAAGUGGUAGGAAAGAUGUGAUUCUCAGCAUCCUGCACCACCGCCGCUAGCAGAAUUCCAUUAUACCUGUUUUUCAAGAAGGUACCAUCGACGGCUAUGCCUUUUCUUAAAUGUCAAAAACCUUGAAUCCAAGCACCAUGGGAUACAAAAAAGUCCUUGAACCUUCCAUUUUUAUCAACAUGCAAUGUCGUCUUACUUCCGAGAUUUGUGGACUCAAUUAUGUAAUGGUAGGCCUCUAGGACUGCAUACCUAUGCUCGUGUGUCCCUUUAACCAAGUCCUUAGUAAUCCCCAUAGUCGUAUAUAUCUUUCAAUAACUGACCAGAACACCCAAUUUCGUAAGGAUUUGAUUGUCCAUAACCCUUGUUGAAGGGCCUUUACUAUUGGGGAAACUACUACUGAAAUAUUCACUGAGGACCUUUGUCGUAGCGUGAGGAUUUUGGCCCGAGAUGUUCUAUGAACCACAUGUGUGAUGAUUUUCAUGUUUAUGAAUAAUGAAUCUAUCAGAACUUGCAUACUUCACCGCUCUCAACCACCACUUACAGUUCAGAUUAGCACAUUUGAAGCAAAAGACACCGCUCAAAUUAAUCACCUCCUUUAUUUUGAAUUUUUUUUCAAGCAAGAUAUAACAAAGUGGUAGAUAGUUCAUUCUUGUCCUUGAAUGACAUUCCAAUUAAAAAGUUGGUCCCGUCGUCUUGAAGAUUUCCAAACUGUAUCGAUUGAGAAUAACUACCCAUCGUAUUGGUCUCAUCAAUGGGUGUUGGUGUUUGAUCAUCAUCUAAAAUAUUCAUGUCUAGAUCAUCCAACCUAUCAUCAAAGAUGUCUUGCUCUUCUUCUUCUUCUAUGUUCUGGUUCUCAUUCUCUCUCAUUUUUUCAACCACGUACACCCUUAACACCAUCCUAGAUAAAUCACUAAGAUAAGCACGUAACCGAGCCUGAUCUAUUAUCUUGAAAGGUAGUACCCUAUGAUUUUCAAAGGAUCUAUACAUGUAUCUAAUGACGAGUUCUUCUGAUUGAUAAUUCAGUCCACAAUAACUGAUGAUUAAGUUUACAAAAUCAUCAUACGAAAUAUUACUUUGGACUGUCAUAGCUAUCAUCUCUAACAUUUUACCUUUGUUCCACGCCAUACAUAUCGAUUGCUCUUCUCGUUCCAUUGACCAUGAAAACCCACCCCUAUUGUUAUUGAUCCCUCCAUUAGUGGUACCUAAAUAAAUUCAUUUGUUAAAAAAAGUUAAUAGUAAUUUCAUAGUGCCGUAAAUAAAUCCCAACAGAUGUGUAAUCAGUCGCAAUAGAUUAAAUACCUUUUGAUACAAGUCAAAUGGUUGUCUUAGCUUUUGAUGACAUCAUUCAAAGUCACUACGUGAAGAAUCAAGCUUUGGUCGCAUGGAAGGCAUGGGAUCAUACUUGGAGGGGGUCGUCUUGAGCAUGCCAUUAAACAAACCCGAGUGUAGAAUAUUGCUUGGAGCCUUGAAGAGUUGAGGACUCUCGGGUUUGGGCCAUACUUAGUGGUUCACGGUUUUGGUUCCCUUUAUUAAGGGUAUUUUGGUCAUUUAGACUUAUCUAAAUGACACUCUAUGGCCGCCCCACUUCAUUAAGGGCAUUGGAGUCAUUUUGUCUUUCUUUUGUAAUAUAUUAUACAUAGUCUCUUUUAGGUCUUUUCUCUUUAGUGUGAUGAAAAUAUGAGAUAUGAAAAAUCCUCUCUCUUGAGGGUAGACCAUCUUAGUGUUUUUCUUAGUUAGGGCUUGGAUUAGCCAUUGUAGUUUACGGCUUAGAAAAGUCAAUAUUGUUCUUUGCUUGGAAACGGUGGAUCUUAAGGUGAGUUGAUUCUCUUGGCGGUCACCGUAAGAGUGGGGUGUUGUUGUUAUAUUCAUUAGGGGUUUUUGAGUUUAAUAUACUCUUUAGUUCCUAAUCUUUGUAAUAAUCUAUAUCUCACUAUCUAUCUUUACCUUUCUUGCAAUUGUGUUAGAAUUUGUACCUUAUAAUCAUUUGUUCUUGUUGAAUUUGAAUCUUGUGUCCAUCUUGUUCUUGCUGUAUUGUUGUUGUUUUGGUGUUAAAACACCUUGUAAACUCGUGAUACUUGUGUCGUUGUUGUUGGCCAAAACUAGCACUCAAAGGGGUCCUCAGGUUGCUCUCAAUUUGUGGACUAUUUUGUGUAGUUUUUGUGACUUCCGUGGUGUUUCUUGUAUCAUUUAGUAUCAGAUCAUGGCUUGAUCUUGUUCCCAUAAGAUCAAUCUUGGGCUCGUAAACUUGAAAAUAAAAAAAGUGUGUAAGAAAACUGAAAAAUCAAAAAGAAGCAAAUCUGUCCAUUUUUGUGUCUUGGCCGAAAUUGUGUCGUUGUAGUUGUCUUGGCCGAGUUUGAGUCUAGAUCUAGGUGUAUUUUUACUUGUUUUGUUGUUUUUUGUGUUAGAUUCUUUCUUUACUAACUCCAUUGAUUCAAGAUCCAAGUUGAGCUUGAACGAUUCUUGUUGGUAUUGUUGUUAUGGUUCCAUACUUGAAUAUUGUUAGUGUGUUUUGGUGGUGUUGUUGUUGUGGAUUGAAAUUUGAAGGUGUGGUUUGAACUCGUGUUGUUGGUAUUUUGUUAUGGGUUUUAAGUCUGAAAAAGGUGUUGUCUGUUCUUGGAGCUCAACGUGAGACUUGGUAUUCAAACUUCAUUGGAUGUUCUUGUUGUUCUAGACCAAUAUUCAUGUAUAGUUGCAAGAAGACUCUUUAAUAGUAUUGUUUGAUCCAAACCCAAGUAGUGGAAAGAGAAUCCCUUAUGUUUAUCUUGAAACUAGUCCCCAAUAAUCUACCAAAAGGGAAGGGAGACAAAAGAUCUACCAAAAAAACUAGUUACGAAAAGAAAGAAAGACCACUUUUGUAGGUGUUCAAAAGAGGAAAAGUUCACCUACCCCUCAAAAAGGUGUCUUGCCUAAAAGGUGUAAGACAAGUCAAACCUUUUUGAAAGGUGAAAAGGGCUCCAAUCUUGUUGUUGUCUUCUCCAAGGGCGGUUAAACCACUUCAAGAACCAAAAUUUCAAAGUUGGGAAAAAUAAGAACCUUUCAAAAACUGUAACCAAUCCUAGAUUGCCACAUACCAAAACUUUUGGCUCAAAAUCUUGGUUCUUCGUUUCUUGUUGUUGAUUCUUAGUUUUAUUUUGUUGAUUCUUAUACUAAUUGGCAACUAGUAAAUACCUACUAAGUUGU
rnacentral:lncRNA from 1 species